rnacentral:lncRNA from 1 species
UUUUUUUUUUUUUUUUGUCAGCAACGAUACAUGUGUAUAAUCUACUCUAUCCUAAUCUAGGGGGAGGGGGAGCCUAAGGGGGCUGUUGUAGGAGCUAGUGGGUAUACAGACUCAACUAGACCAAGGAAGUGCUAUGGCACAACCCUUAGAUUUUUUUCGCUGCUGGUGAGGGUUCACACAGCCCAAGGAGGGACUUAAUCCCUCCCAGGUGGCCACUGAGCCAUUGGCCCAGUGGUUAAUUGGAUCAGAAUAGAAUGAACUGAAGAGGCGCUUGAUCUAGAGAAAGCUCCAAGGCUAGUAAUAUUGAUCAUGCAUCACAAAUACGUGAUUAAAGAUCCAUAAAACAUGUUUUUUUAUGUUUCUUUUUCUUUAUUUUUUUAAAAAAAUCUUUCUUGGGAUGGGUUUGGGAACACUGCACGGCUGGAAAUUAUAUUGACUAGAACGAAAGUUUAACACCAAAUAAAUUGAUCAAUCAACACAACAAGCUCCCGGAUACAACACAACAAGCGCAGUGGGAUUAGUCGGGCCCGGAAUAUUACUCUGUUGAAUUCCGAAUAAUCAUCAGAUACUCACUGUGUCCGAAAAAAAAACACACACACACACACACACACACACACAACAAGCUCAAUUAAUGUAAUUGAGAAUAUUAAAGAAUGCAUGAUUAACAAGUAUUUAAUGGACUCUCGUUAAGAGGAGUUUCAAAUAUUAAUUUUUUUAAAAAAAUGUAAUUAAUUUAGAGAGUGUCACAAUUUAAAAGGUGCAAUAAUUGUGAGUGUCUGUAUUUAUAUAAUAAUAAUUUAAGUGUUUUAACAGGUUCCCGUUAAGUCACGUUUGAAAAAUCUAAUAAAAAUAAUAUGCAAAUCAACUUUGCCGGAUGCUGGCUGACCAGCUGUUUGCCUUCACACUUACCCUUCAACGGCGAAACGUACUAUUCUGCCACUUUUACAAUAGUUAGGACAAUAGUUAGUAGUAUGUAUAUAUAUUCAUCGGAGAAACCAACUUAAUGUGGGAUGCAAGUAUAGCUCAUAUUCACCUUUCUGCAACCUUCCCUCAGACCAUAUACCCGACAAUCCAUCAAAGCCCAUAAAGAGAAAGAGAUCAUCAUCAUGGUUUCGUCUCGGAAUCCGAGUUCCAUAGCAUCAGAAAGAGAAGUUGCUGAUAAUCUUCAACCGACUGGAAAUGAUCAAAAGCAGGAGCUUGAUGCUGGAGCCCUCUUUGUCCUCAAAUCUAAAGGUAAGUUGUUCUCUUGCUUGCCACCCUUAUCAGAAAUUUUUUUUUUUUUUGGUAAAUAUCAGAAUUUUUCAUUUGUUCCUCUUUUCUUGCUUUCCUUUCUUUAUUUGUUCUUUUCUUCUUGCCCAUUUCAUUAAAGUCCAUCAACGCAUAUUCACCUUUGACUAAACGCCGUCGAUGAAAUAGACAUGCACGAUUGAUGAUUAUCAUAAUAAAUCUUUAAAUUUCAAGAAAGAGGUGCUUUUUGGCAGUAAAUUUUUUUGUUUUUUUUGCACUUUUAGAACUAUCUGUGCUUCUUUAAGAUAGGAGAUGGUGUUGCUAUGAGCUCUUUUCUGCAUUAAUAAUGCAGUAAUUCCCACAUACAAAUACAAUGGAUCAAUACUUUAACAAGUAUCCACUUUGUCUUUUUGCUAAAAUUGUACAAAAAUGGAGAAAAAUAUUCCACAUACCCUAAACUCUCAUGGUGCCCCUUAUCUAGUUAUAGCUCAGGUCCACGAUAACAACUUUUAUGAAUAUAUGGCCUAAUAUCGCAGUAUUCUUUUUCCAUAGAAAAAAUGGUCUUCGAGUCGAUCUUCCCAACUUAUUACAAGCAAGUUUGUCAAUUUGGAUCAUGAAGUGAAUGCAUUAGCUGUUGAGUUUCCAAGCUUCCAUUUUCUUGAAAUAAUUGCUUGUGUAUCAUUAUUGGGAUUUUGACAAUAAGCUGAUUUUUUUCACAUGAAAACUUCUUCUUGGCUGUGUACCAAAUAUUAGGCUUGAAAAUUAGUAGUAGUAUACUAGAAGGAAUGGGAAGAAAGAACCGGACAGGAGAAGUGUGAGAACGGAAAUUGAGAUGAGACAUGUUUGUUUUGCAUUAAUUCGUGGCUGGUUUCGAGAUUCUAUCAGCAAUUUUAAAAGAACCAAAAUUUUCUAUGACCAAGAAAUGCACAUGUCUUCGGGUAUGGUCAACUUGGUAAGCAAAUAAAUUAUAUAUAGUUUCUUUUCUUUUGCAUAUCCAACAAAUAUAAUGUUCCUUGAAUAUAAUUUCUCAUUACCAAUACAAAGGUACAUUGAGGAUUAAUUCAUUAUUUUAUAAUUAGCUCACUACUUUUCUUUUUUUUUUAAAAAAAAAAAAAUUCAACUUCCAAACUAGACCAAAACUAAUAUAUAUAUAUUCCACAGAAGACAUAUGUGUUAUUUUUCAUCUUUUCAUUUUUAUUCUCCUAUAAUCAAUCUGUAAACUCUUUCUAAAUCCAAAAGUAUACCUACCUGAAUAAGGUUGCUGAAUUCAGUGGAAGGUGACAUAUGUGUUAUUGACUCUUGUCUUGUAUAUGGUGGCUAAAGAUAAGAAUACUAGUAGUGUGAUUCUCAGUUUUUUUUUUUUUUUUUGGUUGGGUGGGGAGCAGGAUCGUGGAUGCAUUGUGGAUAUCACUUGACAACUUCCAUAGUUGCACCUCCACUUCUGAGUCUGCCAUUUGCCUUUGCUUCACUUGGAUGGGCCGCCGGAGUGAUUAGUCUUGUCAUCGGAGCUGCUGUCACAUUCUACUCCUACAAUUUGAUAUCUCUAGUGCUCGAACACCAUGCUCAACUGGGUCACCGGCAACUCAGAUUCCGGGACAUGGCUACUGAUAUUUUAGGUAAAUUCUCCCCAAACCCCCUCCCCCAACCCCCACAAAAAUCUCGGAAAAAAAAAAUUAAUAGAAUUAAUUUUUUAUGCAUUGUCAAUAUAAGAAUUUUAUUAACUCUGCACAAAUGUAUAUAAAAAUUUUUUGAAAAGUUAGUCCUGAUUAAAAAUGAAAAUUCUGAUAUGAACCCAUUUUGCUGACUUUUUGUUUCACGAGGACAUGCAAUCUCGCUCCAUUAUCAGGUAUACAUAUUUAUAAGAAAAAAUUUGACUAGAUCGAGUGUAUAAAAGAAGGCCUCAAUAAUAAGUGAUCCCAAUCCAAUAAUAGUUCGAUGGACGAUGCUAGAGCGUACUUUAGAGUCCAAAACUUUGGUUCAAACUUAGAAUUGCUUCUCUUGGUGACUUCAUGUUAAAGAGUGCCGUAAUGCUCUAUUUGUUCUAGUAUUUGUUUUCGGUUGACCAGACCCCUAAGCGGUGGUAUUGGUGUUGAGAGUUGAAACUGCCAUUUGGCCUUUUCGACUCUUAUCAAUAUUUUUGAUCGGUGGCCAUUAUAAAAAUUCAAAGAAUACCUAUUUCUUAAUAGUCAAAAGAAAACGCCAGCCAUCAAACCACGACCCAACUGACUCACGAUACAGGAUUUCUGAAGCUGAGAAUUCUGCAUCGACAAUUUCUGUAGCUAGUAAGGAAAAUACUAACCCUGCCUCUAUAAAGCUGUCGCGAGUCUUUUUCAAGUUUAUUUCAACCUAAGUUUUUUUUUUUAAAAAAAAUUCUAAAUAAAUUUAUCUGUUCUAUUAGGAUCACCAUUCUUGUCUUGUCUUGUAAAUGAAAAUUGUACUGGUUUAAUUAGUUUUCGUUCAUCAUAGUAGAGAAGAAAAAUAGAACCGCUAAUAAAUUUAUUUUACUUCUAAUUCAAUUUAGGAAAACCUCUUUUAUGUUGAAAAUAAAGAGGAAAACCUCUUUUUGAUUUUACAUGAGAGUUUGAGCGCUACGUUCUGCGGGCGUUCCAUUUGGACUGCAACAGUAUCAGAAUCCUUUUGAUCCCUUUAUCAUUGCCAAAGUCCCACACGUAAGCCCUUCAGCUGUUAUUGUCUAUGUUGGUCUCAUUCAUAGAUGUCAAAGUUUUCUUUAUCCAAGACAAAAUAGAUGUCACAAUUUUGGUAAGAAAUCUUGUGAUUUUUAUUGCGAUAUUAAUAAGGAUUUUGUAUAUGUGACGUGCAUUUGAACACGUUAAAAUAUAAAUCAUUAGUGUAUAAAAGAUUAUUCCAUUAACGAUGUUUUUCUUUUUCUUUUUUUUUUUGUGAUUGGAUUAGUUCUUGGUCAAAACUGAAAAGAUAGGUACUUAACUGCAUGUGGACACUCAAGAAUAUUCUAGGAUGAUUGCACAAGUGAAUUUCAUUUAGAAUUGAUGAUAUUUUCUUUUUCACAUUAUGUUGUUAUACUAGAUAUUUAACUUCAAAUGCAAUCGUCUCGUAUUUUUCUUCUUACAAGUUACAAAUUCAACUUUCAAUACGUACAAGUAGGAAAGACCUUCCUACAUUUUUUGAGUAUAUGUCAAAAAAGAUUAUCAAGAAAGAAAGACUGGACACAUCGGCCAAAUGACAAGGAAGUUCCUACCGACCUCUUAAAUUCUAGAAUAAUUGCAGAUUUUCCUUUCUCGUUCCAUGGAUUAGUACCUAUUCUGCAUGACAUUGGCUUAUUCAUAAUCCAACCGAAUUCUGGCCUUACAAAUCCAAUUUUGGCAGGACCAAAAUGGGGAAAAUUUUAUGUAGGUCCAGUCCAGUUCUUGGUGUGCUAUGGUGCAGUUGUAGCCUCUACUCUUCUGGGAGGGCAGUGCUUGAAGGUCUGUUUCGUUUUAACAAUAUGUUUCUAACACCACUUUCCUUCAGCCCAAGAAAUUUUGAGCAACUGAGCAUGAAAAUGAUGGACGGGGCAUACCAUAAGAAAGAUAAUGAUAACAAUAAACCAUACGUUGAUGAAGAAGAAUACAGAUUUACUCAACCUGUCGACUCCUUUUGCAGGCAAUCUACGUGUUGGUAAAUCCAAAUGGAGAUAUGAAGCUCUAUGAAUUUGUGAUCAUAUUUGGAGGGCUAAUGCUGAUUUUAGCUCAGAUGCCAUCUUUUCAUUCGCUUAGGCAUAUCAAUCUGGUCUCUUUAGUACUCUGUCUGGCCUACAGCGCCUGUGCCACUGCAGGCUCUAUUUACCUUGGUAAGUACUAUUAAGUAAUGUCGGUACUGCUAAUUGAAACAGCCUUUAUUUGAUAGAAAGAUGGUAUAUAAACUUUGGCUGCAUAAUUUUUUCUCAGGAAAUUCAUCUAAGGGACCAAACAAGAACUACUCCUUGAGUGGUGGUACUGAAACUAAAGUUUUUGGCAUCUUCAAUUCGCUGGCCAUUAUUGCCACCACUUAUGGAAAUGGGAUCAUUCCAGAAAUUCAGGUCCCUUUUCAUUCCACUCAAACUUUGACCAAACAAAUAAAGAUUAAGAUAGAUGGCUAUAUGACUUUUUUUUGCAGGAUUAAAAGGUUUUCAAGGUAUCCAUGCAAAUGUACAAACUUAUUGUAUCAAUCCUAAUGGAACAUUUCUGAUCAUUUAUUUACAGGCGACAUUAGCACCUCCAGUAAAAGGCAAGAUGUUCAAGGGACUCUCUGUUUGUUACAGCGUAGUCACACUGACCUUCUUUACCGUAGGCAUUUCUGGCUAUUGGGCCUUUGGCAAUGAAGCUGAAAGUCUAAUCCUAAGCAACUUCUCAGAUAAUGGAAAAGCUUUGCUGCCCAAGUGGUUCAUUUUUAUGACCAAUACUUUCACCAUUCUCCAACUAUCAGCUGUUGCUGUGGUAAAGACCAAACACUAUUUAACUUUUAGCACAUUCUCUCUGAGUAAUCAAAACCCAAAUAUAUGAGCAGCCAACCCCAAAAAAAAAAAAAAGAAACAAGAUCGUAAAAAUUUUGGAAUGUAAUGUUUAUUGUUCAUUACAUAUAAAUUUUCUCCUUAUACCGUUUAGCUGUCUAUAUUAGUCAGGAAUUUAGGAUUUAGAGAUGAUACUUUGUCUCACUUUUUGAAGCUUUUGACAAAUUGAAAUCAUAAAUUCUUUCAGUGACAUGAGUUUUUCCUACAAGUUAAAGUGGAGCUUAGGGCACUCUUUCUUACAAGUGUUCUGCAUCAAAUUGGCAUAAUAACAACAUAGCAAAUUAUGACUUCUGCCACAGGUGUACUUGCAGCCUACAAAUGAAGUUCUUGAAAGUACGUUUGCAGACCCUAAGAGCAGUGAAUUCUCUGUUCGAAAUAUUGUUCCAAGGGUAAUAUUGCGGUCCAUAUCAGUUGUUAUAUCAACUACAAUUGCAGCUAUGCUUCCAUUUUUUGGAGACGUUAAUGCUUUGCUUGGAGCUUUUGGUUUCAUGCCACUCGAUUUUGUCCUUCCUGUUGUCUUCUUCAACUUGACAUUCAAGCCAUCAAAGAGAAGCCCCAUUUUUUGGUUAAAUGUCACUAUAGCCGUGGUUUUCGGUACUUUGGGGGUCAUAGGAGCAGUGGCUGCAGUGAGACAAAUUAGUCUUGAUGCUAAAAAUUACAGGUUAUUUGCCAAUGUAUGAUUAGAUAACCAUGGCUAGAAGCAAAUUAUACAGCGAUCUUAUUUUGAUGUACCAAAAGCUUUCACCUGUCACUGUCAAAUAUCUAUUAGCUAUAGCACAUUUUUUAUCAUUUUUUCGACAAAUAAAGUACAAUUGCUUGUAUCCGAUGAGAUAUUCAGGCAAAACUGACCUAUUUGAUUAGUGAAUUCAUGGUUGCCACCAUGGCUAGCAGCAAAUUAUACAGCGUUCUUAUUUUGAUAUACCAAAAGCAUUCACCUGUAACGUAUGUAUUAGCUAUAGCACUCUUUUUUGUUUUUUUUUUGGUUGACAUAGAAAGUACAGCAACUUGUAUCUGAUAAGAUAUUUAAACAAAACUGAUCGAUUUGAUUAGUAAAUUCAAAGUUGCCAGCCUUAAUCAAUUAGCCAUUUAAUGAAAUGAUCUCACGUUUCACCAGAAUCUACCACUCUUUCUUGGUUCAACAUAAAAAGAGUAACCCUCUGUUCAGUGUCUACAGCUCCUAGAGCUAGCUAACAAAAAGUGCUAUUCAACACCUACAAAAUCCCUCAAAAAACUAUGGACCGCUCCAUCAAUCAGCCAAAUGAAGGCAAGGAUCUUGAAAUUAUUAAAUUACUUGGGCUGUUGCUUCUUUACUCAGAAGAAAAGUUCAAACAAUGAGAAACUAUAGAUGGUAACACGUCAUUCAACUUCAUCCAAAUGUCCGAAGAGUUCUUGCCAAUGAAUUGCAGCUUCUUCAGGUGACCGAAGGGACCAUAUAUGAUUGUUGGCCUGCUCACGUUUCUCGAGGAUUUCCUGCAUUUAGAAGACUAAAUUGGUAAUCGGUUGAAAAGCAUAAAACAGAAGCACUAUGGAAUAUAAUCCGACUUUUCAUACUCCUUCCAAAAAGAAAAGUCAUCUAAGAAUAAUCUGAAGGUCAUGAAGUAAUAAGAGGGAAACAAUAGCAGGAUCAAAUCCCAAGUACAAGCAUUAAUGACAACAGUGUCUGGCGAAUUGUUUUCCAGAUGUUCCUCUGAACAUGAUGACAGCUGAUUUAAUAAAUAAGCAGAAAAAGAAUCCACCAUUUUCCAGAGUGGUCAUGUGCAUUGAUAAAUUUAUAGUUUUUGCUUCUAGGCACCAACUUCAGAAGCAAUGCCACACCAUGUUAUUUGAACACAGCACUUAUUGAAUAUGCUUUUGAUUUUUUUUUUAGCCAAAAUUAACCACCAAUGGAUUGUAGUUAAAAUACCACAAAGAUGGCUAAGGAGAAACGGAAUGCUAAGACGCUGGCUUUUACGUAUCACAACUUACUGUACUGUCACACCCAGUUAGAGAAACUACACUUGCAUAUCAGUCAGGAACUAUUAACUUCUUAGCUGGUAAAAGAUCCAAAAAUGCAAUAAGGCAAUGACAAUUUGGAAACAGUAGGGAAAACAAGCAUCCCUCAAUGCACCUAUAUGGCAUAAAUCUUCAACAAAUGCUCUCAGUAUUGAAACAACAUGCCAUGGUACCGAUCUUAAACUAGUCCAGUGAAGCACAACUUUUGGAUUUAUUGUCUCAUGCACAUUGCAGCAAAUAAACAAAGCAAAAUGACCGAGUUGGCUGUUAUUUUCUGUAGGGGCAAUCCAAAUCUUUUUAAGAUUUAUUUCAAGAAAUAGCAAAUCAUCAUUUAAUUUCUGUGCAGUACCAAACAGUAAUUAAUAGGUCAAAGAAUAAUCCGACAAACCCCACAAUUAAUAAAAUGUUUUUACCUUAAACUUACUGCAACCUUUAUUUAGGAACUCAGACUUCCUAUUUAAAAAGUGGCAAUCCAAAUGUAGUCAAGAAGAAAUUUAAGGACGAAAUAGAGUUGAUUCCUCUUUUAGCUACAUAUGAUGCUCAGAAGUACUUGGAAACUUAACUUUCUCAUGGUCUUGAUUGUUUGUCCCAUAAAAUUAAAAACCGGUAGGUCCAAAAUACGGUAGUUGAUUAUCAUUCCAAGCAUAAUCAUGGGGAUCAAAAUUGCACCAAUUAUUUUCUCUGAUAAUAGUAUUUUAACUGUCCAAGUUACUUUCUCAACACUAAAUGCUGGGGUUUUUUGGAUACGAAAUCUAUCACCUAGAUAUGAACAUUUAAGCACUGGAUAUGUUUAGUAUUUGCUUGGGGCUAACCAGGGAUCUAGUUCCCCUACUUAAUGGGGGAAAUUACACGAACUCUGAGAAUAACACGUAGUUGUCUUUUACUGUUCUUACUGCAGUUUGUUAUGUUCUGUAGCACAACUACUCUCAGUUCUAGCCAAAACCUUCAGAAUCCAAAUGUCAUGUUCAAAGUAUUGUCUAAUUAGUUCAUAGUUAAAACAAUACAACAGCCUAGUUCAAACAAAAAACCAGGAACCCGCAUCUGCUUUAAGGGUAUAUUACCCUCUAAUGACGUAGAAAGGAAGUUUAGAAGCCAAAUCAAGCUUGACAUGAGGAAAACAUUUGAUAAAUAGAAGAAAAUAAUCAGCUUUGUCCCUGGCCAUUUAAAUUAGAACAGCCUAUGCCUAUGCCUUUCAAGAUGCUGUUAAUCAAUGCAUUUUCAGUUUUACAUCAAGCUAUGACAAUGGCCUUUCACCAAUUGAGGAAGAGGGUCCUUGUGAUUUGCACAAUAAAAAUAAAUUAUACAGACCUCCAGCUCAGAAGGUCUCUUGGUUUUGAGGUUUAGACAAUCAAAUAGAGCAUUCCACUUUGCGGAACAAUUAUCCAGCCAACCCAUCCGAUAGUAUUGCUGCAUCUGAUGUACAGGUGCUGCAAAUCACAAUUUUUUACCACUCAGUCCAACGAGUCAACCACCCAAAAUAAAUAGAAAUAGAAAUAGAAAUAAAACUGCUGUUCAGAUUGUCGAGUUGAAUACAACGAGAAGCAAGAAAGAAUUGUAGAAAGACAUCUCUAUAUCUGAAAGGCAUGAUGAUGAUAAACCUUUACGUAAAAUCAGACAGAUAAUUUUAGAAUCUGGAAUAUUUCUGGGCUACAAUAGAAUUUAAUUGAUACUGUAAAUACCAAUUAAUGCUCUCAAGAAUUUAGGUCCACGGAAACAUAUAAUCAGCAAACUAUAAAUUACCAACUUUAAUUCUGUGAAAUGAGGAUGAAAAGUCAAUGAUAAAGUGAGUAGGGCAAAGAGAGAGAAGGGAGAGCGGGUGUACAAUAGCAAAACCAGAGCGCAUCGAAGUAGGUGGAGCACGACAACUUCCGGCGCGGUGCUGUGGCGUCGGCUACCUCCGAGCUCAUCUUCACCUUAAUUAGUGGAGUACUACUCUGAAACUGCCCUUCCACCUAUGAGCAUGUGUAUUAUGUACUAUUACGCAGGCAGUGGAUUCCUCUUUCUUUUUCUUUUUCUUUUUUUUAGGCGAAAAAUACACGUUAACUUCACAUUCUUCCGUCUCUCGAUUUACCAUAUAAACUGUUGAUGACAAAUCUCUCAAAAUAAUGUUGAAAAAAAUAUAUCGCAAAAACGGCGACGGGCUAAUUUGUUAAAUAGCAUCUAAUCUCAAGAGUGAAAUAAAUGGGCACACUUAUAUAGGACUAAAUAAGUAUUAGUAUAUGUUAAGCUAAAUCCAACUACAAAGUGGAACAUAAUUUAAAUCCAACUUCUUCAAGAUUUCGAGCUAAAAAGUGGACUAAAUAAGUACCAAGAAGCUAAAUCCAACUAAAAAGUGGAAAAAAAAAAUCUUUGUUCUAUCUUAAUUUUGAACACAACUUCUUCAAGAUUUCGAUAUAGCCUUCCAUGUAAGGUUACAAAUCAACAUUUUUCUACAAAAAUCAGGUGGAGAUGGUAAAUCGGACGUAAUUUCCAUAAAGAUGAAGUUGGUUUUACUAAGAGUUAUAAUCAUUUUACAAGUUUGGCCAAAUUUUGAAUUUUGCCAAUAACACAAGAUACAACACCGAUGCAGCUACAACAAUCAUCAGCUUCUGAGUCCUGACCACUGACCACUGACCAGUGUCUCCAAUAUGGGCCCUUAGUAGAAAAUUCCUAAAUCCCGCAUAAUUACCUAUGAAACGAAUACAAACAAGUCACCAACUCAACCUUGAGUAAUUUCAGAUCAUAGCUCUAAGAACUGCAGAGAAAUGAUGGAGCUAUGUGAUUGACAUUCAUAGCAGCAUCCGUUCCAUUUAUCUCUUUCUCAACAGCUAUAACUUGGGCUUCAAUUCAGUCUUAUAGGUCAAGAGCGAAAGUGGCGAGGAGAUAAAUGAAAUCCAAUGCACUUCUUGAGGUACUGCAACUCCGAGAGAACCAGGAAUUUGAGUUUGACUCUGUCGGAGGCAAAGACUUGUUGACACAACGUAGCAGCAGGCUAGUCUGCUUUAAGCGAAAAGCAUCUUAAGCUCCUCGAUGCGCGCUGAUCUAACUUCUUGGUCAGUCAAAGCACCAGAAAUCAUCCGUUGUUUGCGUGCUUGCACUGCUUCCAUUUUUUCUUCUACGGUUCCCUGCCACCAAGAUAGUCCACGUGAGUAUUCGCCACAGUUCAGUUAUACCAACAAUUCUACCGAGUACCAAUAAAGGUUAAUCACAUUCAUGUCUAAUCCAAAGUACAGGGUCCAGCCACAUAUCUAGUGUCAACAAGAGAAUAAGAACGCUACCAAACUAGCAAAAUAAGACUUGCAGGACAAUUCCAAAAGGAUUUUAUGAUGUACCUUCAUGAUGAACCUUUUGAUCAUUACUUUUUCAGUUUGUCCAAUGCGAUGAAUGCGCAUUACAGCUUGUUCCUCUACGGCUGGGUUCCACCAGGGAUCCUAUAUAAGUCAAAUGUAGGCUUAGUGUAUAUACAGGGAACAAAAGCCAAUUCCAAGUACUACUUUUCUACUAUUGAAGUCAGCAGAUUUAUGAGAUUACUGACAAGAAACCGAUUUUCCAAUUGAUGAUAGCAAAUUUUUUGUUUCCCACUUGCCGAUUGAAUAAAAAGAACUCAUACUAGUGUUUUCAUCCAUAAUUACUUCCGCAAGGCACAACUCAAAGUAAACACUCCUUGACAACAUAUUCAAGGACAAAUGCUCUCCACAAAUUUGCAAGACCUUGUACACAUGACUACCAGCAAGAUACAUACCAAGACAAAAGCGUUGGAUGCAGCUGUUAAGUUGAUCCCAACUCCCCCAGCCUUCAAUGACAUUAGCAAAACCUGUUUAAGUCAAAUUUGAAGAAGUGAGCCCAAAAAACAAAUAAAUAAAUAAAAUAAAAUCUAGAUAGUAUGCUCCUCAUGCCAAAACCGUGGAGACAAACCAUGAUGUUAUCUUCCUCUGAGAAUUGCUUUAUUACAUUCUCACGUUGUUGCUGGUUAAGGGUCCCAUCCAGACGAAGAAAUUGAAUAUCACUCCUAAAAGUAGAAAGGGAGAGGGGAAAGAAUUGCAAAAGAAAUGAAAGGCAAAUAAGGCUUAGAAGAAUUAAUCAACGGAUUGAGACAAUAAUAGUCACGGAUUAAUACCAUUAUGCAACAAAAUACAAAAAGCGAAACUUGGCCAACAAAUUUCUCAAGAACUCUACACAUAUACACUAGACGAUCAGACAGCUCAAAAUUCUUCACAUCAUGUCAUGCUCUUGGUAAAAAUCCCCCCCACUCCAACACCCAGACCCAAUCUAGCCUGAGAAAAUCAAAUAUAAAGAAACCAAAAAUAACCCCUUUUGCUAGAUAUUAGAGGGCUAUGGAAUGGUAAACAAGCCAAGCAAAUUAACUGAAUGGCUAACAAACAGAACGUUACAUUCCAGUACUAGAAAACAAAUGAUGGCAAAACGAAGACAGAAAAUGUUACCGAGAAAGAGCAAUCUGCAAUAGAUCAAGAAAGGCAGUCCACUGGCUGAAAACAAUGCUCUUGGACCCUGCUAAGCGAAGAAUUUCAAGUUCAUGCAAAAGAGCAGAAACCUUAGAUGAUUCGACCCAAUUUCUCUCAAUAUCAAUCCGGAAGCGACUCUGAGUAGGAGCUGUGAGAAGUUCUUGCUUGGUAAUCAUCUUUCUGGAAUGUGACAAGCUCCCAACGAAUUAGUGUCAGGCAAGAGGAUAAUGUAGUAAGCUCAUACCAUGUAAGAGUGUUAGAAGAAAUAAAAGGAAAAAGCAUGAUGGUACCUACAAACAGGACAAAAACCAGAAGUAGAGCUUCGCCAACUUGCUAAGAGGCAUUCUCUGCAUAGUCUAUGAGCACAUGGUGUCAAUACAGCAUCUUCAAAAGCUUCAAGGCAUAUCGGGCACUCUCCUACUUCCCCUUUUCGUAACUCUUCAACAACCUCCUCAACAUAAGCCAGUGAUGGUACAUCUCUAGCUUGCCCAUCCACAAUGUCCUGACCAACCUUAAGAAAGCGUCUUGUGAGCUUAUUCAGAUCAGAGAACUCUUGCGUGUCGCCCCGACUGGACACAUAAAACCCAUCAAAAAUGAAUCAUUAAAACUAAUCUCAGAAAAUUCUCACAUAAACAUGUGUGAGCAUGUGCAAGCUUUACAGAACAUCUCCCAUCACUCAAUAGCACAUGGUCAAAAGCUCUAAAACAUUAGGAGACCAUGGCAGUAACCUUUAUCCUUAGUCAUAAAUGACUUAUCAAUGGGAUAAUGGGAAUCAGAUAAAGCUUACUUCUUGUGUAAACAAUUUCCAAAAAACUCAGAAAGUUGGAGAGCUAAAUCAGGCAGCACUGUGAACAUGCUAGAUGUGGCUAUUAGAGCAUUAGGUUGAGUUGCAAAAGAUCAGCAGGCUAGUGGGGCUGUCUUAAGCUUUCCAUUCAAUAGUGAGAGCUGUAGUUGGGGUUUGUCUAGUUUGAUUUAUGCACAAUUCAUGGUACCAAAAUUUCAUUGUUUAACCAUAAGAUAUGUUACUAAAGAAGGGAAUACAAGGGAAAAUACAAAAUAUCCUACCUCAUCACUAAAAAUGGAUGGUCACAACAUUGACGAAGACGCAAGAGCAACUCCAAUAUUGAAGCAUAAUUGUGAAGAACACGUCCUUGCUCGACAAAUUUAUCAAAUUUCACCUUAAGAUAUGGGACAAAAUGGAACAUUAGGGAAAUGGAUACCCCAAAAAAAAAGUGCUUCAGAUCAAUUAAAUACCUUUGAUCUUUUAAACAAAGCAUCAUAAAAAUCCCUCUCUGCUUCUGUAAGUUCACAAUAUAUCACUUGAAUAUCAGCAGGUGGAAGAACCAAAAUUGGCCUGCAAACACAUAAAAGUACAAGGAAUAUAGCAAGCAACAUAGACAAUGGAGGAACAUUAGAAUUUACGGAUUCCUUAGAUAACCUUACCUGCCUUCCUUGUCAGUACUAGAUUUAGUUCUUCUUAGCAUAAUUGGCUUUAAUAUUGAUUGGACCAACUUCAAACUACGCGCAUCACCCUCCUCAAAAGGUUUCUGAACAAGUUUGUUCCACCUAAAUUAAGCAUCCAUUGGUCAAUCCAAGGCAAUCUGCUAUAAAUUUUUGGAAAAAAGGAUCACUAGAACACUUUCCAAUAGCAGGGCAGCAUGCAAUCUCUGAAGGGGCAACAGAAACAGGAUUUGGUAAAGUCAAAAGAUAAAACAGUUCAGCUAGAGCCUAGAGCAACAUAACCACAAACUUCACAAAAUCAAAAGCAUAAAAAUAAAGAAAGAUCCUAUUGUAAGCUAAAUUUCAACCAUAGCUGGAUUAAAGAAAGAAGAAUGGUGAUAAAAACAAUUCCAAUGGUGAAACCUAAUAUCCAAAAAAAGAAUGGAAGCUAAACCUCACCAUGCCCAGCUUCCCCAUGGUUCCACCUUCAAAAAUCGAAGAAGACUGUAAAGAUCUUCUAGGUUGUUCUGUUGCAAAAGAAUUGUAUUCAGAAAAAAGAAUUAGACUAAAAGGUAAAAUCUGAAGAUUACUACGAGGUAGAUAAGCUCAAUUACAAUCAUCAUAAGCUUCUUUCAAAAUCUGCAUUUAGAGAAAGAACUCUACUGCUCCCAAGCUUAAGGUGCAAAGAAGACUUAAUUCAAACUUGUCAUAAUAAAUGUUAGAGUGCUCUUCAAUAUCUUCAAGCAACAGAGCAUACAUGAAUGCAACAUAUUUUAUUUCAGGCCAAAUAAUCACCCAAUAUACCUGGAUAGGGGUGCCAGUAAGGCACCAUCGACGAUCAGCAACAAGCGCAGCUGCAGCCAUGGAAAUUUGGCUUUUUGAAGACUUUAUUGUGUGUGCUUCGUCUAGCACCACUCUAAACCAUCUCACUGAGAAGAGUCCCCCAGUGACAUCAGCAUUCUACAAAGGAAAACCCAUUAAAUGAGCUUGUCAGAUAAUUAUCCCAGAUAAGACAGAUUAUAAUCAUGUCAAUAGCAGAUGAAGGGCAAAAGAGUCAGGCAAAAGGAUUUCCAGCAAUCUGAGCAUAACUUGCAAGUGGUAGAUUUCCUUCAGCAUAGGAAACUGCAAGUGAAAUUUUAGCUACUUCUGUUAUGAUCAAACGAAGAGAUUGUAAAAAUACCUCUGCUGAGAACUCUGAGGCUAAAACUCCAUAAGUUGUGAGCACAACAUCACUUUGGCCUAGAACGAGUGCAUCCCUUGAUCUGUUCUGCCCAUAGUGAAUGUAAAUCGACAAAGUCCCAGGUUGUGCAUGGGUUUCAAUUUCUGCCUGUUAUCAAGAUAACCAUUUGUUUCACAGUAAAAAACCUAGCAAACAUAUUUCACUCUACAUGCUACAUGUAAAUUCACCAUUUCAUUUGAUUUUUCAAACACUGCUUGCAGUCAAUGUGUACAUACCUUCCACUGACCUAUAAGGGUCAUUGGACAGAUAAUAAGGUUUCCACCACAUGUGAGAAAGUUUUUUGGCUUCAAAAGCUUUUCGAAUCCAGAAAUUUUUGCCGCUUUUUUUGCCGUUGGAGAUUGAUCUGAAAUAAGGCUAGCUUCACCAUUUCCAGUCAAAGUCUGGGCUGUCAAUUGGUUUCCUAAUGAACCACCUCUUUCAGAAUGUGUUAGAAGAAGAGCUAUGGUCAUGAUAGUUUUCCCAAGCCCCAUAGAAUCUGCCAGAAUCUUCAAAUUUUCCUUGAUUUAAAUGCAAUACAGGAAAAACAACUGAAUAAAAAUUUAAGAUGAGAUCCAGAAUCAUACUCCUCCUCUGGCCAUCCGAAGAGUGCUUGGAAAUUCUGUUGUUGCAUCGCCAGAAAAUGCAUUCAAGUAUAUAACAAGCCCCCUUCUAGCAAAGAACACACCCAGCUUUAGAAGAUGAGUCAAAUUAUAAGAUAAUUAGAGAAUUUAAGCAUUCUCCUGGUCACCAACUCGAAAACAAAGCUUUCUAACUUACUUGUCUGCAAGCCGGUACGCAUCCCAACAUGGGUGCAACGUUGAUGCUGCUUCAUCCAGGCAAUGGCCCCUCUCAAGUUGAAUCAUCCAAUGAAGAGCCUGCUUCUGAUAUGGAUGAAGUUCACACUGAAGAGUACUUGGAGGUUCCAUUUCCUAAAAUAAGUGCCAAUAUAGUUAACAUGCAGAGAAAUCAUAUACAACCCCCAGCCCCAAAAAAGACAUCAAACUUCACAGAGCACAUUCACAUGCAAACUGCCUGUAGGCCAGUACCAGUAAUUCAGAGUUGUCUGCAACACCAACAAUUUUGUCAAGAUCAUUGUCAGAUAUUGACUCCUCAUUUUCCAUCUUACUUCCAUCUAGAGUUGAUUGGCUCUUGAAUUUAGGAAUAGGAAACAAUGGUGCAGAGACAUUAAAGCUGUCCUGUUCAGAUUAAAUAUAGAACUCAAAGGCUUUUUUUCUUAUUUUAAAAAACUUAAUCCAUUUCUGAAGAAACUCGACAGCCAGUAAUGUUUAAUGUACCUCUAAGUUCAACGGACGCUUCUUCGUAUACAAAUCGCCUGGAGUGAAUUCUGCCUAAAACAGAUUAAUGACAUUAAACAGCUCAAAAACAUGACAAAACCACAACAUCCAUACUCAGCACUUUAACGGUUAUUUGGAACUACACACACGAAGUCAAACAUGACCAAACUUAUUGUUUUUAUUACACUCUAUAUACACACUGAAUGAUUACACCGUACUAACUCUUAGAGUUGUUUAAAAACAAAACUGCUAAAAGUAAAUUGUCACCUUCUGAAAAGGAGAGAGCCCCAGCAAUUGGAAAAGCGUUGGCAGAGGAUGAAUAACUGAUUCAUCAUUUGAGGCUGCUUUCAGUGAAGCCUGAUGGCUCUUUUGGAACAUGGAACCGUUUAUAUACACGCUGCAUAUAAUGCAAUUAAAAGAAAUCAACUGUCACCCUCUAUCUACUGCACAACCACAUAUACAAAUUAGUACAAUAUAAGAUAUACAGAACCCAAUCAUCACAACUAUACCUGACGGACAGAAUAAUGCUGUCCAUAAUUCCUAAUACAGGUGGAGCGGAUUUACAAUGCCCAUCAAUUCUAACUUUCUUGUCCCUCACAAGUGGUAAUAAGCAUCGAGCCCAUUCAUAUGGGAUGCGGCCAAUCUGCUAGCAUUAUCACAAACAUAUGUAAAAAAUACUAUCUUAAAGGUCCAACCAAAGCUGUUUCAUUUUUCACGCUUCUCAAACAACUAUAUUAAACGCCAUGCUACUUUCACCAAAUUAGACAUUUUUCAGCAAAUUAAGAUCUUACUUAUCCUUGCACCACUUUAUCAUUAAAAAGGGGACAACAGAUGCAUUUUACAAACACAAAGCAUAUGACUUUGUCUUCUAAUUUUCUUCUUAACAAUUCAACUUAGAUCAAUGAACGAUAGUACCUCUCCACAAGCAUUCGUGGAAAAUCUGACAAUUUCAGAAGAAGAAGACACCUGCCGCCCCCGACCACCCCCAGACUUUCCAGGAGAAGGUGAACUCAACUUUCUCUCCACCGGAAAUGUGAAAAAAACCUCCUCCCCAGGCUUCAGAGUCCUUCCUUUACACGUCGAAAUCCCUGCAACCUCACCACACCCCACGAGCCACCAUUCACUCCCCAUUGAACUCGAACUCGAACACCCAUUGGAGCUCGAACACCUCGCAUCCUCAACUUUCCUCUCUCUCUCACUAUCCUCUAUCCUAGCCUUUACAGCCCCAUUUGAAGCCGAAACCCGACACAAAUUCUGAUUCUUGGCCUUGCUAUCAUGAUCGUCAGUACCAUUCACACUGGGAUUUGCCACAGUUGCCGGCUCGGGGCUCAAAUUUCGAUUCAAAGGCUCGGGUUUUUUGGGAAUUUCAGGUUUUCUAAAACCGGGAGUGUCAAAAAUGAUGUUAAUUGCAGCCGUGGGAUCAUUCUUGGCCAUGUGCAGGGCUCGAACUAUAUCCAUAUUUGAGUAUUCAGCGCCUACGAUGGAUCGAACCAUCAAAACCAAUUCAUCGGUAACUUUACUAAUACCCAUUUAGGUUUUGCUUGAACUGAAGAGAAUAGAAACCCUAGUUGUGAUUUGAGAAAAUCGAGGCAGCUCUAUAUCCAAAUUUGAAUUUGGGAAUGGUAGCAAUUUUUAAAUUUUGUUGGCUUUAGAAGAAGGGGAAAAUUUUGAGAAGCCCUAGAAUACGGGGUUUUUUAAAAGGGCGCAAAACGGAAAAGUGGCGGGGGUGGUGUUUAUAUAGUUCAGGAGUAUCGGGUACAUUCCCAGUUUCCCGCCAUCCCAGUCAUAAAGAGUACUCUCGUUUUGCUUUUCCGCUGUCUUUUGUUCAUGUUCCACUUCUUAGCUUUACUGUCGGUUUGAUUAGGUGAAAAAGUGCCGUCUGAACCAUUUCAAAGGAAAAAAAGAAGAUUCUAUAAAAAAAAAAAAGAUUCUAUAGAACCAUUUCAAAGGUUCUAUAAACAAAAGCUCGCUACUACUAGCUUUACUGUCCUUUUGUUCGUGUGCUGCUAUUAGCUUUAAUGCGCAUUUGAUAGAAAGAGUGCUCAUUUAGGAGCUUUGGUUGAUUUAGGAGCUUUGGUUGUCCUGUGAGCAAAACUUAUCUAUUAAAAUGUUAAGUGGUAUAGAACUUGUGUGUAUUUUUUUAAGUACAAAAAUUCUAAGUCAACGACUGAUUAUGAUGAAUUGUUAUUUUAAUCAGCAAAUUUACUUUAACUAUUUUAUCUUGUUUUUAAAAUCCAUCUCUAUUUGUUAACCAUGUUUAGAAUCCUUCCCAAUUAAAUAAGUUGAUACUUUCGACCUAAUGCCUUUCAACUUUUGUUUUUUCUCUAUUUAAUGACUUCCAACCUCUUCUCAAUAUGUUUCGCAUAUUUUAUUUUUCUAAUUAGUGAAUUUACUCCUUAAUGUUAUUUUUUUCCUCCAUCUCACUUUUCAUCGUUUGCUAUUCACCCAGUUUUCUCGAAUUCUUAAUUUUUUCCCUCUUUAGUAAAGUAAGUGAUAUUGCUUAUUCGUUGGUUUUUUAUGUUUCUUUUUUUUUUUAAGUACAUUAUGCAAUAUAUGUCUAUCUAUGUGCAAUAUAGGUAUGAAAUCAAAGAAUUCUAGCUGACCUCAUUAGAAAGAUCUAAGUGUAUUUAGGCGAUUUAUAAAAUUAUACUUGAUUGAAACACAUCCAAAUAAUUAUAGUGGAGGCAGUUUAAAAAAAAUGUUGGGAAUGAAUUAGAUCAACAUUGAAAUAUGAAAAAUAAGAGUGACUUUAUGCAAAGAUAAUUAAAGAAUGAAUGGGAUUAUUCGAAACCAAAAUACAAAUUUUGGGCAAAACUCAAUGGUAAUACAAUACUGUAAAUAUUACAAAACAAUCAUUUUUUACUUUCUUAGGUCGAAUUUAGAUGUUAGAUAAAUUAUUGAAUGUUAGAUGAAUUAUUGGAUUGUAGUGUUUCUUUUAAUAUUUUUCAUAACACAUUUCAUCUUUUCUAUUUAUUUAAUUAAAAGUAAUUAUUGUCUUUUUCAUACAUAACAAUUUCAAGCUAAUUAAAUCACAAGUUUUUUUAUAAUGAAAAGAUAGCAGGACAAAAUUGUACAAUUUAUCUUAUUAAGCAUUUAGUUUUAGAUGUUUGUCAAACACUACAUAUGGAUUUAGUAUAAGGAAUCAAAUGUUCAUAUUUUUUUUUCAACGCUCAAAGUUCAACAAAUUAAUUGUUUCAGCAUUCAAUUUUCAUAAUUUAGAUUUAGUUUUAUCAAACAUGACCUUUGACUAUAUUCAUAUUUUUGGGUCAAACAAGACUAAGGAUUCGUUUGAUAAAACUAAAUAUGACAAUCUAAAUCCGUUAAAUUAUUGAAUUGUUAAACAUUGAAAUCCUAAUAUAUGAGUAUAAAAGUGAAUAGCUUUUAAUUAUUUUUUAGAGUGAGUUUCGCCUAGAUAAUUCAAAUCCAUUUUAUUAAUUAAAAAUAUUAUAUUUUUUGUUAUCAAAUAUAUCUGAACAUGCUAAGGCCUAAAUCAAUUAGAUUUAAGUACUAAAUUAUAUUAUUAAACAAGUCCCAAACUAGAUGCUUAUACACAGUACUUGAUAUACUUAUACUACAAUUCAUUGAGAUGCCUACAAAAUACAUUUGACAAGCUUUCAAAUUUUUAAGUAUGUAUAGUAUGACUGUCCACUUCGUGUUCUAAUACUAAAAACAUUUCACUGACUUGUUAUUAUUCUAAAAGCUUUAUUUCUUUCAGCUAGAUCAUACACUUCCGAUGGGUCUUCGAUUUAAAAUUUAUUUCUUUAUGAUUAUAGGGAAGUUGAACGAGAGCUUCUCUCCUAGAAAUCAUAGCUAAUGAAACAAAGGUCUCAGCCAUUCUCGGUGUCCUAGUAAUUUUCUAUAGAUAAAUGGUAAUUAAUAUGAAAUUAACUUGCAAAUAGGUGUUAUCAGACACUUUUUCACUAUAGGAUUAUGUGAUAUUUAGACAUUUUAAUUAUGUGAUAGUCGAGUUUUGAUUUGACUAUGGAAGUCAAAGAUAUCCAUCUUCCCUGCCCUGCGUGACUAGAAGACGAGAAGUUAUUUCCCUUUUUGAUGUCAAAAUUCUCAAGAGUUAUUGCCUGGAUGUCAAAAUUUUCCUUGAAUGUAUGAGUUUUCUGAGCACGAAUUCAUCCAGUUUGGCCAUCAGAUUCUCUUCUUUUUGGAUCAGGGCCUUGAUGCUGGCAUCCACAAUAGUCAGUCCAUUGGCAGACUCGUUACAUUAUCGCUCCUUGUGAGUCUUAUCCUGAACCCAUUGAUUAUAUUCUCGGAGGUCUUCUUGACUUCUUUUAAAGGAUUGAGAAUGGUAAGGGAGGCCGAUUAAGAAUUGAUAAACAACUCUUCGAUCAGCUUUAGUCAGCCCUGAUCCAUCGGAUUUCAUGAAAAUUUCAAGAGCCGUUUUGAAAUCUCCCAGCUCUGGGCCAAAAAUUUGAUCAAUGGGGCUAUUGAUGACCUUGCUGAGGACCUGUUUCCAUUGUUCCAAAGGCAACUCAGCAGUUGAUGAGGUUGUUGCCGAUGCCUCGGGUGUGGAACCAGGAGGUGGACCGAUCACUUGCUGAAUUCGUGCCAUAAUUUCUGUCAUCGAGAAUGGAGCAGGUGAAGAAGUACCACCAUUCAAAUCCUACAAUGCAAACAAGAGAGAACACAAGCAAAUCAACAAGGAUCCGAGCAUUGUAGUAGUAGAAAAAAUAAGAAGGCAAGAAUAGAUAAUAUAAUACUACUGUUUUGAUAAUAUUUCGAGUUUCUUCAACCAAUUCAUCAUUGGAAUCAAAGGAGUCCACAGCAGCAGAACUUUUUUGCGUCAUAACUUUCGACCGUUUAGUGGUCACUGGUGGAGUUGCAUUUUUCGAAGACCCCAUCUCAGUUGUCUUGGAGCGAGCAAUUUUGGCCAUUUCCUGUUUCUCAGCUUUUCGGCGAAAGAAGGUUUGGGUCUUGACUUCUUUUUUUGAUUUCUUUGAUGAUCGGCUAGUCAAAUGUAUUGAAACAUCAGCAAUAUUAAUGUCAUCAUCAGAAUCCAUGUCCUCAAUAAUAAUGGCUUUAGCAACACCUGCGAAGUUGCAUUUACAGGAGAAAUUCAGAUUAGCAUCGAUUUAAAGAAAAAGAAAGUAGGAAAAUGGAAAAGUUACCUAUCGGUUCAGGAACAUCCCCGACAACUUGAACAAUAUCCAUAGAAAGUCGUCGAUCAUUUGGAUGGGCAAAGUAGUGAGUCCUGGUGACUGGAUUCUUAUCAGUGCCAGAAGGAAAAGGGGAAAAACAAGGAUCGGCAAGAGCAAAAUUGGCUGUAGGGAUCGGCGGUGGUUUGCGGAUGCGGCUUUGAUAAUAGUCUUGAAAAGAGGGAGCAGUGGCAUCUUCAAAUUGGUGUGUGUGAAAAUACGUUCGCAAGUAUCUUAUUUUUCGGUUCUCAUCCUUUUGGUGAUCAAUUUCUUCUACCUCCUGAAGUAUUUCUUCUCGUCAAUAGGGGUUCGAAAGCUAUAAUAUCAGAUAUUUGUUUACUUUUAGAUGAAGUGAGCUGUCUCUUGCGCUUGCUUGUUUCCUGAACCAAAACCAGUAGGAAAAAGAACAAGUGAUCGAUUUUCUGAACCCGGUAGUUAGUUUUCUGUAUAAUCAGACCACCAUAAAAGUAAAAUCAGUGGAUGCAUCCACCGAGGGGAGGAAAGCAGGGAGUUUCAAGGUUUUGAAGAGUUGGCGUGCUAUGGCAGUGCGUUCAUCAGCACACAUUUUUUUCCAUAGACAUCGAUUCAUUCCUGUUGUUUUUCUGGCAUAAACCAGGUGGCAUCAGUAAUAAAAGUCUGCUGUUCUUGGUGUCCUUGUAAUUUCCUAUAAUUUUAUACGGUAACCAUAUGGAACUAAAGAGAUCCAUUUACCAAUCUACAAGAAUUCUUGUCUUGCAUGGCUACAAGACUGCAAAUUAUUGCCUUUUUGAAUGUCAAAAUUCUCAAGAAUGCAGAAGUUACAGCCUAGAUGUCAAAAUUCUCUUUCAAUAUAUGAUUUUUUUUAACCUCCCAUCUCUCUCCACAAAUCUUUAUACUCAUAACUGUCAAAUUCAGGAUUUGAAUCUUAAACUUGAUAGCAAAAAGAACUUAAAAGAACUCUCCCCUUUCCUACCCACUGGCUAAUCUGAGUGAUUGCUGCAUCAAGGUAAAAUGUAAAAAAAGGAAAUGGGAUUACUCACAUUGCGCAAGUGCUUUAAACUAUGUUGAGGUCAGUAAUACAUGGCACUGUCAAGCUACUGAUGAGCAAAGCUGCAGUGCUAGAUUGGAGAAAGAUGAGGUCCAAGUCAAAAACAAGCAAACUCUCAACUACAUUUUGUCUCGAAAAACUCAUGACAUGAGAUUAGUUACUUUGUUGGAAGACAUUCAUCAAUUAAGAUUGUUGUUUCAAAUGUGCUCCUUGUAUUUAGUUAGUAAAGAACAUAAUCAUAUUUGUAGUAGGAUUAGCUCAUAUGCCUUAGGUAUAAUUCAGAUAAGACUGAUUGUAUAGCUCUAUGGAGCCUUUGCUCGCAAUUGUACAGUUUUGACAAUCUAUAAGAAUCAUUUUGACCAAAAAAAAAGAGUAAUACAAUGCACAUCUGUCUUCAUAAGCAAACUUUUUUUUUUUUUUUUGGUCGACACAGUUGGGUAUCUGGGCCCAUGAACUGGUAAUACCGUACGGCCCAACUAAUCCCAACUGCGGGCCAGGAGAGACUGCCCAACGUCACCGACCAAGGUCACCCGGGGAAUCGAUCUCUGGACGUGGCUCUCGCUCAACUGAGCUACAACCACGGGACCGACCCCUGAAGGGCCUUCAUAAGCAAACUUAUUGUCAUUUUUCUUGUAGUAUAUAGCUGUUCCAAGGCCAAAAAUAAAAUCCCCUUUUUAAUCUUUAUUUAAAGGUUCACGACAGUUUAAAAUACUUAGUGAAAAUCUAAUGUCAAAUUAACAAGAGUAAUCUAUUAGCUAAAUUAGCAAUUUUUGCAAGCAAUGGAAGGAUUGCAUUUAAAUUAACUUAAUAUGCCUGUGAAGGUUCCUUAAAAUAAAACCAAUGGAAGGGUUGUGAUUACUACUUUGCUAGCAAGGCAACUAUGAGAAUAUAGAAAAAUUUACCUGCAAGAUGUCACCAAUCUUAGUAGAGGUUGAAUAGUUAGGCAAAAACUUUAAAUUACUAAAAAUUAUAUUUUAAGUGUCAAGCAAAUGUAUUCAUUGUGUUUUGUAUAUCAUGCAGCGACUUAUAGAAUUUGGUUUUGACACUUUGUUCUACAUUUUUUGAACUACUUUCACAAAUGUAAUUAUCAAUUUCAGAAUUUCUCUCUUAUUAUUCAUAGUUCACAUGAUUGAGAAAAUUGAGAAACAUCAUGACUAACUACUUGAAUUUCAAUCACUUGUUAUGGAAUUAAACAUCUUUGCAACAUGGGUUAGACAUUGUCAAAUAGUAGAGUUAUUAUUAUUCUCCAUAUAAUAUGCAAGUGUUGAAUAGAUAAAAAAGAAUAAGUAAUUGGCACAAAUGUUAAACUAGAUUGAAUUAAACAACUUCAUGAUAGUAAGAUUUCAAGAGGAUACUUUUAAAACUGAACAUAGAAAAACAGCCAUAAGUAAGUGAAAUGGUAUUUUGAAGUUCUUAAAAUUAAAACUCAAAAGAAACCCAAAAAAGAAAUUCUUGAAAAGAAAAAAUGCAAAAUCAAUAAACCAGGAAAAUAAAUAUAGCCAUUUACAAUUAACACCCUGCGAAUUUAAGGCCUUGCUUGGAUUGCUUGUUUCCGUCGGAAAAUAUUGUCGUUUUCCGUGAUCACAUUUCCCUAUCACCUUUUUUCCUCACAUAUAUCAAAUCGCUACAGUAAUUUUUCCAUGAAAAAUGACGGAAAAUGCAAUCCAAACACAACCUAAGUUAGGUACCCAAAAUUUCUAGGAAGUGACCGUUAGUUUAAAAAACAUUUUUGCUUUUAUAAAUUCAAAACAAUGAAAUUGUUGGCGGGUGACAACUAAAUCACCACAGCUCUUCCCGCCAAAUUGUUCAUAUUAUUAAGGUUGGUGUCCUGUUCUAUGUACCGUGCUAUUGGGAUUUUAUAGUACUAAAACAGUCCACUAAAGCUCACCCACACUCGGAAUUUUAUUCAUUUUAAGCGAGUUGACUCAGCUUGUCCGCGUCAAUACGGAUAUUUUCAGGCACCUAAUUCUUAAUAAUUUCUUCUGGCCUCUUGUCAAUAUUUGGUGUCUUGUUGAAAUUUUUUCAAUUGUUCAUAUUAUUAUUUUCCCAGCAUACGAUCUCUGAUCCCCAAUUACCAAUGGAAAAGCACAGAUUUGAUUUAAAAGAAAUUCAUAAUUUUUAAAUUUUAUCUAUCAUUUUCAGAAUUACAAUUUUAAUUGAGUGAUAUCACUGCUACAUAUUUGUCAUGCUAUGGAUAUUAGGAAAAAUUAGUUUUGGAGGAAAAUAAUAGAUAAUAAAACAUGAAAUUGAUGCUAACACUUUUUUUUAGUCAUCAAAGAUGAUGUUAAUUGUUUACAUUUCUAUAGAGGAGAUAAGUAGGAGAUUCCAAUUUUAAAAUCUUUUACUUACAAAAAAAAUAAAAAACUACAAUCAAACAAAUUAAAAAAAUUUCAAUCAAACAAAUUUAGAAUAAACAACAUGAAUAAACUUUAAAUUUAUUUAUUCCUUAGAGUGAAAUUCAAUUUGUACUUAUCUUAUUAUCUUCCCUGAGUAACAGUGAAUGUAUAGCGCAAAAAAUUAGAUAAAGUAUUCAUUUACAUAAGUGUAUAAGUAAAAAUUAAUUUCUUACAUUUUCUUUUAAGAUAAGAUGAGUAAUUCCUUAUUUAUUUUUAUAACCAAAAAAGUAAAAACAUGUUAGAUAUACAACCAGAAAUCUAGACCCAGAUCUUUUUCAAAAGUACAAUUAAGUUCAAACUUUUCUUGAAUAGUAUAUAGUUUUCUUUUAAAUUAAAUUAUAGAAAAAAUCGUUGAUAAUAAUGAAAUAAAUGUAUAAUGAAAAUCCUCGGGACCGACUCAGGCAAGCGAGUCACAACUCACGAGUGGCCAGGUGGGAUUCGCCCUGGUUUCCAUCAGCCCAGUAGGCAACAGAAAUAUAAAAGAAAAAAUGAAACACAAAAUAUGGUAGCAAAAAUCAUCAAAUACUACUCAAAUACUACUACUACUACUCAAUAGACCCCCAGAGAGAGACCCCAUCGCCCUCAAUCCCCCAAUUCACCAUUAUAAUUGAGCACGACUUACCAUAAAUUACAAGUGUGGUUCAGGUUUUCCUCUAUCUUUUAGGGCUCUAUCCCGAAAUCUCAAUGGCGGCGAAUCAUCUCAGAGCAAAGGUACGAUUUCGAUUUUCCCAUACAACAUUUGUGUCAAAUCGAUUGACUGAAGCUUCAAGAUAUCCUUAAUAUUUUUUUUUUGAAUUUCUGAUUGAUGGUUUUAAUUUGAUUUAUUUGCUAUGGAAUGAAGCCCUAAGCUUCUGAAUUUGGAUUUGGUUUUUGUUGUUGUUGUUCUUGUGGUUGUAUAGGUUUGAUUGGAAGCUAGAUGGUUUCUGUUUGUUACUGGAAAAAGGGAGGGCACCUCGAAACCCUAGAUAGGUUUUGCUGGGAUUUGUGGUGGAUUCAUUUGGGAGUUGGUUUGGAUUUGAUUGAGGAUUGGAAAUAAGAUGGAGGAUGCGGAAGUUAGAUUGGAGAGGAAAAGGGGGCGGAAAAGGAAGAGAGUUGAUGUUCAGAAUGUGGAAAUGGAUGUAGAUGGGAAGAAGAGGGCAGUGGUGACACGGUCGAAGAGGCUGGUGGGGUGUUAUGUGAGGAAGGAAUUCGAGGGGAGUGGGUUUUAUUUGGGGAAGGUUGUUUCAUAUGAUACGGGGUUGUAUAGGGUUGAUUAUGAGGAUGGGGAUUGUGAGGAUUUGGAGAGUGGUGAAGUGAGGAGCUUUUUGAUUGAUGAGAGUGAAAUAGACGGUGAGUGGAUGGAGCGCAAAAAUAAGUUGGAUGCUUUAUUGUUGCAUAAAGACAAGGAUGUAGAGGCGAUUAAUGAAUUGAAAACCGAGAAUGUGGUCCCAUUAGAGUCUGCAAAUGUCGUUGCCAAUGCUCAGGUCAAAGAAACGUCUGCAGUUAGCGAGUUGAUUAAUGCUAAUUGUGAUGCUGAAAUUGAGGGCGUUCAAAUUGAUUAUGAUGCUAAUGUUGACUCAGUGAGUGAUUCCUGUGAGGAUGAGGAAAUCAGUUCAGAGGUGGAAGUGCCGGUUGUUCCACCACCAGAGUUGCCUCCCUCUUCGUGGAAUAUUGGGGUUCCAGCAGAGGAUGUGUCGCACCUUCUUUCCGUAUAUAGUUUUCUGCGCUCGUUUAGUAUUCAGCUGUUUUUGAGUCCCUUUGGACUGGAUGAUUUUGUGGGAUCACUCAACUGUUCUGCUCCGAACACAUUGUUGGACUCUGUCCAUGUAGCUCUCAUGCGUGUUUUGAGGCAUUAUUUCGAAAAGCUCUCAGUGGAUGGUUCGGAGCUCGCAUCAAAGUGCUUGAGGUAAUUGAAUUUCAUCUUUUUCUGAAAAAUUAAUGGGUUAUGAAUGUAUUUGUUGGUAAGUUAUGUACUAGAGGCUACCACUACCGAUCUUGUGGCCAUCACAUACUGAUUCAGUUCUUGGUUCCACUGCACAGUCAUACCAAUACUGAUACAGAAAUCUAAUUUUCCACGUACUAGAUUUCCUGAUACUUUAUAUCAUCAGCAUCCAGUAUCAUUUACCGCUCUGUUCUGGUAAGCAAGUAUUGCCUGAUUAGGAGUUGUUAAAAGAUGUUGUUAUUAAUAACCAUGAAUCCUGUUAGAAUUUCCAAGCUAAUUGUUGUGCGGUCGUUUUCAGCAUUUCUUUGUGCAUUGACUAUGAUAAUGGUAAGUUUGAGUUGUGAUAGAUCUGAGAAAUGAAAGCAGUGAUCACCACUUUAAGCAAUCUUAAUUUUCUUAUGAUGUAUGGUAAGAUGCAGUUCUUUUAUAACAUGGCUUAUUUAGGUUACUUUUCUUGCUUGCAGAGGCAUGGAUUGGAGCUUGCUAGAUACAUUGACCUGGCCUAUUUAUCUGGUUCACUAUUUAAUGGUGAUGGACUACACAGAUGGUCCCGAAUGGAAAGGUUUUUUUAUCCAUGCACUGGAGAGAGAAUAUUACACUUUAUCUGCUGGUAAGAAGCUCUUGAUUUUGCAAAUCUUGUGUGAUGAUGUUUUAGAUUCUGAGGAAUUAAGAGCAGAGAUUGACAUUCGCGAAGAAUCAGAAGGGGGAAUAGAUCCAGAUACGGGAAUGGUUGUUGCUCCCGUGGCUGGACCAAGAAGAGUUCAUCCUAGAAAUUCCAAAACUUCUGCUUGUAAAGGUCAAGAAGCAAUGCAAAUUAUUGCCCAAAGUCGUGAAAUGAAGUCAUUUUCCAACUCUGGUAAUCUGGGGUUGAGUGUUCAGGGACAAGAUGGUAUUUCGGAUAUGGAUCAGGAUGGUAAUGGCGAUGAAUGCCGUCUUUGUGGCAUGGAUGGGACCUUGCUUUGUUGUGAUGGGUGCCCAGCAUCUUAUCAUUCCAGAUGCAUAGGAGUGUGCAAAGUGUUCAUACCAGAAGGGCCAUGGUAUUGUCCCGAGUGUACAAUAGAUAAGGUAGGGCCAAGAAUCACAAAGGGAACCACAUUAAAAGGAGCCGAAGUAUUUGGUGUUGAUGUCUAUUCUCAAGCAUUUAUCGGUGCUUGUGAUCAUUUACUUGUGUAUGUACUUGUUCCUUAUCUGGAUUGCUUUUCUUUCGUUUAUUUUUAAAUGCUAAUGAAUUUUCUUAAAGCUUCAUGUUUAUGAUUAACAUUGAAUUCUCAGGCUAAAUGCUUCAACAAAUUUACAUUCCUGCGCAAGAUAUUACAGUAAAAAUGAUAUUCCAUGUGUCCUUCAAGCACUUCUUUCAAGUAUGGAGCAUAUUGUUAUGUACAAGGAAAUAUUCAAGGCUAUCAUCCAGUAUUGGGAAAUUCCAGAAGACAUCAUUUCAUUUACUGAAACAUCUGAAAUUGCUGAUCAUCAGUUAGCAGAAGAGCAUCUUAAUUGCACCGUGCCAUCAUCUGUAAUGCCAUUGGGCUUGGUAAGUCAUAAUGUUCCAGAGACACCCCGAAGUGAGGAUACUUCAAGCUGUAUUUUUGGUGCUAAUUCAGGAAACAUGAACAAGGCCUCUUUGAGUGCAGUAACAUCUGAUCAUGCUGUUCAACAGGGAAAUGGAGAUGCAUCUAUAGAAACAGUUGGCCCUCAAAUGAAUAUCCCUGGGGAGGUUCAAGUGAAAUACACUGUGUUUCCAGGUUCUCUUGACCAGGGGACUGUUCAGUCUGAUUUCAUGUCAAAAGAAAAGUCAGGCCCAGAGACUGCUACAUGUAUGUCAACAAAUAUGUUUGGUAAUUGCAGGGACUACGUGAGUGGACCUUAUGUGACACCUAAACUUGCUGUUGCCUAUAAACACAUCAAGAUCAGGGUUGGUAAAAGUUUCCAUAGUACAGAAAAUGCUAUCUCAUACAUGGGAUCUUCCUUUAAAGCCCAGGGAUAUGUCAAUAACUAUCUACAUGGAGAUUUUUCUGCAUCAGCUGCUGCUAAGCUGGCAGUUCUUUCAUCUGAAGAAAACCAGGUUUCUGGGUCUCACUCAUCAGAUCGUCGGAAACUUAUUUCCGCUAAUAUAUCACUUCAAGUAAAAGCAUUUUCGUCAGCAGCUAUGCGCUUUUUCUGGCCUCAUACAGAGAAAAAGCUCAUUGAAGUACCAAGGGAAAGGUGUAGUUGGUGUUUUUGUUGUAAAGCUUCUGUUUCGAGCAAAAGAGGGUGCUUGUUGAAUGCAGCUGUGGCAAAUGCCAUAAAGGGUUCUAUGAAGAUUUUUGCUGGUCUUCGUCAUGCAAAGAGUGGAGAGGGAUGUCUUCCUGGAAUUGCUACAUAUAUUAUGUUCAUGGAGGAGAGUCUAAGUGGUCUAACUGUCGGCCCCUUUCUAAGUUCAGCAUUUAGAAGACAAUGGCGCACACAAAUGGAGCAUGCUAAUACCUGUGGUGCAUUAAAGUUACUUUUACUUGAGGUCUCUCUCUCUCUCUCUCUCUCUGUUUGUGUGUCUUUGUGUCUGUUUGUGGCCCCCUUAUACAAGUCAUUGAGUUACUACCUCUACUUCAAGCAAUUUAGCCAUUUAUUUAUUUACAUUGUGGAUCAUGUUUAUCUACUGGUUUUGCUAAGUGGACUUUCUGACAAUUGCUUACUCUUUCCAACCCCUUAUCCACAGUUUAAGUUAACCUGCUAUGCAAAGAGUAGUGGCUUCACUUAAUGUCGUGGAGUAUUUUCAUUUGUCUGGUGUAUUGAAAUCUUUUCCUUUUUUGGUUGAGGUAUUGAGGUUUUACUUUAUUUACUAAAGAAAAGAAAGGGCAAAAGUUUUUUACUUGACGGUUUAGAUUAGGAAAGUUUGUAAAAUAUGGAAGUUACAUUCUCAAAUAAAUGGUGCAGUAGCGAGUGCUCAUUAAUCUGGCUUUAGAUGAGCCUGAUUUUCGUCUGACUUCUUAAUUGCUGCUGUGUGAGUUAUUUGCAUUUUCUAUCUAUUAUAUUUCUGCAUUUAGCUGAUUUAACAGGUUUAUUUCAUAGCACAAAAGGUUAACAUACUUAUUCAUACAUUGGGUAAGGUAGGUUUCAGAGUGAGAAUCAGAUAUUUCGUGGUGGUUGAUGGUUUUGUUGCUCAUGAGUGAAUUGGGGAUUCUGUUCUCUAUUUCCAUUUCCCUUCCCCUCCCACAUCUUUCUUCCCACCCCUGCCCCGCUAAAAGAGUUGAAGAAAAAUCAAGGUUUAAGAAUAGACUAGCCUUUUCCUUUUGCCAUUUAUGGCUUUAAAAGCCUGUUAUUGUUAUGGCCGGUGCUGGUGUUGUUCCAUUAGAUACUUUGUCUCAGCAACUCAUAGGUUUUGUACCUUCAUUCAUAUUGUGCUGUUUUUGAAUGUCUAAACUUGACGUUCCAGUUACAUUAAGACUGUAAUUUUUUUUGCAGCUCGAGGAAAAUAUUCGUACCAUUGCUCUUUCUGGGGACUGGGUUAAGCUUGUUGAUGGUUGGUCACCUGAGUCUUCUGUCACUCCAAGUGCUGUUAAUGCUUCUGGAUCCACUCAGAAACGUAGACCAGGGAGACGUGGAAGGAAAACAUCUGUCAUGACGGAAGUUACUGCUGAUGAUAGCCAGGACAUAUUGGCUGACUUUACUUGGUGGCGAGGUGGUAAGCUGACAAAGCUUUUAUUACAAAAAGGGGUUCUGCCUCGCAUACUGGUGAAGAAAUCUGCACGUCAAGGUACUGAAAGUUUUUUUGACUCUUCCAUGGAAACUUGAACUGCUUCUAUUUUCAUUUUCCUAUUUGAUCUGUGUUACUCUUUUAUAAACAUAAAUCUAGUUGUCAUGGCAAGGAGUAACUAACACAUUUUGGAGUAGCAGGUGGUUCAAGAAAAAUACCUGGCAUUUACUAUGUUGAAGCAUCUGAUACUCCUAAAAGAAGCAGACGACUUGUUUGGCGAGCUGCUGUUGAGAUGAGCAAGAAUAUUUCCCAGCUUGCACUUCAUGUUUGUUCUCUUCUCAACCUAUUCUGCUCUUGGGUGCAUUUAUACGUGCCCUUCAUUUUUUUCUUUGGUAUUUUUUCCAUCAUCAGAAUGUUAUGAGCUAGUGUGUUUUGGAUGGUUUUUACUUUUCAGACUGCCUUUAAUUCAUGAAAUUGACUCUUGUAACAGGUUAGGUACCUAGAUUUUCAUGUGAGAUGGAAUGAUCUUGUUCGUCCAGAGCAGAAUAUUCAGGAUGUAAAAGGCCCAGAAACAGAGGCUUCUGCUUUUAGAAAUGCUUACGUUAGUGAUAAAAGAGUCAUUGAUAAUGAUACUACAUAUUGUGUUGCUUUUGGGAAUCAGAAGCAUCUUCCUUCUCGUGUGAUGAAGAACAUAAUUAAAGUGGAGCAAACCCAAGAUGGAAAGGAGAAAUAUUGGUUUUCGGAGACACGCAUUCCCUUGUAUUUGAUCAAGGAGUUUGAAGAAAAUGCAGCGAAAGUUCUGAUACAAAAAACAGACAAGCCCGUAAAUGCAACUGUAAACUUGCAAAGGAGGAGGUUGAAAGCUUUCCGGAAAGAUGUAUUUUCUUAUCUUGCACGAAAGAGGGAUACUAAGGAUAUGUGCUGUUGUGCUUUGUGUAAACAAGAUGUUUUAAUGGGGUAAUUCUUCUGCAUAUUCCUAUUUUCUUUUUAGUUCUUUUACUAUUUGUCAAUUAAUUGAGGUUUUCUUUAUCUUUUAUGCACAGGGAUGCUGUCAAGUGUAGUGUUUGCAAAGGUAUUACAAAAUACUUUUCUGUAUUUUAUGACUUUUUUAGCAAGUUAGAAAGUUAUUAUGCCUUUUACUUUCUUGUUUGUCGGGUUCAAGUUUUUGAAGAUAAUGAGAGCCUUGUUAUGGUUCAAUUCGUCGCCAGCCAUAUUACCCAUACCCACAAUCCCAGAAAAAAAAAAGAAUGAGAAAAAAAAAAAGAGUAGAGGGGUAAAGUCAUGGAGAAAAGUAGGAAAGGAAGUUGUUGAAUGAAAGGCUGAAGUUUUAAUAGCACAUCUAGCCUUCCAUCCCUAUAUGUAGGGAAAAGAUGAGCUUUAAUAUGGACAUGUAGGGAUGGUAACAAUUAAUUUGGCAGAUAUGUCCUCUUAUACAUGCCUAUAAUCAAACUAUUAUCAGCUUCGUGAGAAUCUUGAAAUGCUAUUAGCAUAUGUGUUUUACAUGCUCCUUGGGAAUCUUGAAAUGCUAGUUUCACAUGUUUUACAUUGUUAAACUUUAAGGAAAGUGACCAACUGUAUGCAUUUUGACUAAGUCUUUAAUUUAUUAGAACUGUAAUGUUUACCAGAUUAUAUUUCUGUCAUGCAAUCUUACUUCUAUGAUAAAAGUGUCACUUGUGACAUUCAAGGACUCUCUCACUAAUUUCACUGUCUAAUAUAGUACCGUGCCACUCUCUCAGUCUUUACCCAAUUUACACAUGAGACAAACUUGUUACCAGAUUGCUCUUCAUAAAUUAUCACUCUGGUCAGAAUUGAUCUCAUUAUCUCUCUCUAGUCAAGACAUUGUGUCCUAACAGAAAGGGGAAUUACUAAUUUUCUUCAAAAAGUUUCUCCUCAAAUUCUACCUGGGAACUGUUAUUUACCAUUCCUUUUCCUCCUGUUCUCGGAUCUUCUUGGACAGUUUUCUUUUGAACUUUCUUGUUUUGUAAUUGUGAAAUCAAUUUACCUAUGUACAAAACAAAGAACCUAGAAUGUAUAUUCUGCCUAGUUUGGAAGUUUAAGAGAGUUCUUUUGUGCCGGACAAUAUUUUCAAUUUUUUUGGAAAAUUUGCAGCCUUAGUUUUUAUUGGACUGGAAUAUGGAUAAAGUUUGCUUUGAAAAGCUUCUUUUUUCUGCCUUCUGUGGAAACAAAUGACCAUUUGCUUCCUGUUUCCGCCAUUGGAGUGAAGAAUGCAGAAAGGGCUUUCUUUUGAAAGCAUUGCUUUUGGAUUUAGAUGUAUCUUCUGUUCCUGAGAAAAUGCUGCAAAGUUGUUUUCUUUAAAGCUUUCAAGUUCUAUAGAUAUUUUGGAGAACACAAAAUUUUAAAAAUACAUUGAUGGUGCAAAACAUUUGGAAAUUGUUGGAAGUUGUUUGAGUCAUAUUAGAAAGUUUUGUUUAUUUUUGUUGGAUACUGUAGUUGAGCUUCAGACUUUCUAUGGCAAUAUCUGGCUGGCUUGUCCCUUAGUUUGUUAGAAAUGUAUUUGUUGUGAACUUUUAUGUUCUUUCCUUUCAGGGUAGAGAACUGAUUUAGAUAAAGAAAUGUGCCAUACAUGCACCCUCAGCUUGACGAUGAUGCGUUUCCUAUGACUCCACCAUUUUUUGCAUGUGGCUGGAUUUAUAAUAAAUUAACUGUCUUUUGACAUCCAAGCUAUUUCAGAUGCUUGCCUGUGCAUGCAAAGUAAAACAUUAUUGUUCAACCUAUUUCAGACGUUAAUCAUGUCAUUUAAUGUCUGUUUUCCAUUAUCCUUAGGUUAAUUUUGUUUAUUCUUAGAUGCAAUGUGAUUUUAAACCAGCAAAAAGCGAGAGGCUCUGAAUAUGAACACCUCUAGGACCACCUUUGGUUUCGUAUAGACGUGUACUUAUUGAGAAAUAUAUAUAUUUUUUGGGAAAUAUAUAUAUUUUUUGGUUGGCAAGUUUGGCCCUUCUCAUUCUAUUCUGGAAUUUAUUAACUAAAAACUUGACAAUUUGGUACAGGUGCCUGUCAUGAGCAGUGUACUGUCAGUUCAACAGUUCACAUCAAUGAGGAAGUUGAAUUCCUGAUCAUUUGCAAGCAGUGCUACCACUCUAAAGCUCUGAGUCAAACUGAAAAUAAUUACGAAUCUCCAACAAGUCCUUUACUUUUGCAGCGACAGGAAUUUGCUCCAGUGAUGGUGAGGAAAGCUGAAAACCCAAUUGGUUGUGAUCAGCCAUCAAUGGCUGUCAAAACUGUACAACAUGCUUCAGAUGCAAAAUCAAUUAAUGCCUCUAAAUCCGGAUCCAAAAGCAAACGGAAAUUAUGUUCUUGGGGUCUGAUCUGGAGGAAGAAAAAUUGUGAAGACACUGGGAGUGAUUUCAGAUCAAAAAAUAUUCUUCUGAAGGGCAGUAGAGACUUCGGGCUGUCUGGGCCCCUCUGCCACCUUUGUCGUCAGCCAUAUAAUUGUGAUCUAACGUACAUUCGCUGUGAAACAUGCUUAAGUAAGCUCAAUAUACCUAAUGUGUUUCACCUGUCUUUUUGUUACCCUUGGUUUUCUGGAAAAUAACAUUGCUUUGGUCUGUGGUCAUUCUCAGACUGGUAUCAUGGAGAAGCUGUUGAACUCCAGGAGUCAAAGAUUUCCGAUCUGCUGGGUUUCAAAUGUUGCAGGUGUAGGAGGAUUAGAUCACCUGUGUGCCCUUACUUGGAUCCAGACAGCAAAAAGCAAUUAGAGGAGAAGAAGACACGCAGUAAGCCUGCAAAGCAAGAUGAGAAGGACCCCAGUGUGGAUGUUGUCCCUCAGCAAGUCAAGCUGGAACCUGCUAUGCCUCAUUUGCCUGCAAUGGAACAAGUGGUGUAUGUAGCAGAGGAUGAUCCUCUACUUUUUAAUCAUACGAGAGUUGAGCAGAUAACCGAACAGAACUCUAGUGUUGAUUAUGAGUGGAAUGCUACAAGUGUUUCUGGGUUCGGGCCACAAAAACUGCCUGUUAGAAGGCACAAUAAACGUGAUAAGGAAGAAGAUUGUUCUUUAGCUGGCAAUUCAGCUCAUGAUGACUUGUCAGCUUUUGGAGGAAAUGUCUUUAACUCUGCAGACGAGUCAUUGUCUCAGGUUCAGUGGGAUCCUACUGCAAGUGGCUUUGGUGAUGGUAUGAUGUUCAACUAUGAAGACCUCAGCUUUGAGGAUAUGGAGUUUGAGCCUCAGACUUAUUUUUCAUUUAAUGAGCUGCUUGCAUCUGAUGAUGGUGUUCAACAGGAUGUAGUUGGUUCAGCUGAGAAUGUGGCAGAGAACUGGGAGAAUUCAUCCAUUCUACCAAGCGAUGGUGUUGUUGAUGCAUCUUUCAAUCAGCAAGAACCUUCAAGCUUGGUUAAACAUGCAGUUAAUACAGUGCCUUGUAGAAUGUGCACUCGUUAUGAACCCUGCCCUGACCUUUGUUGUCAGAUUUGUGGUAUCCUUAUUCACAGUCAUUGUUCUCUAUGGAUUGAGCAGUCAUUGAGGGAUGGUGGCUGGAGAUGUGGUAAUUGUCGCGAAUGGUUUUAGUUGAUCUGCAAUCCAUGUUAGAAUGCUGCUUUGUCCAAUAAGCUCUUACUUGAGGUGGUAGAGUGGAGUAUGCCGAAAGAAAACGCACGCUUAGUGAGCACCAUUAAGAGAAGAAGUCAAAACGGUAAGAAUUCCUGGUUUGGAUCUUUUGGAAGAUGGGAAUUCCCGUCUCAGCAUUGUCCCAUAUAGGUUUUUCAAAAUUAAAGCCCCUAUCAAGUUGAGUUUUGGGGCCAAUAGAGAUAAGCAAAAUAUUUUUUUGUAUGCUUAUCUGAUUUUUGGUUUGGCUGUAUACAACAAUGUUUUAGCUGGCAUUUUGAAAAUCAGUACCAACAUCUGUCCUAGCUUUACAGUGAUAUCCGUGUUCUAGCUUUAUAGUUGCAUUAUGUUGGAGAUUGGAGGUUCAAAUGUCACCCUAAAGAUGACUUGAGCCAGGAAAAGUACGGAUUUAUGAAAGUACCCAUCGAGUAUAAUUUGCUACUAACGUGCUUCCCAGCGGAAACCUUUAUGGUAGGAAGGCGUCCUACCGUAGGUAGAGGAGCAGAGCAUGACACGUGUAUUUGUAUUUGGAAAUAAAGGUGCUAACGGACCGGUUAUAUUGUAGUCCUAACGCCCGGUUAUAUUGUAGUCCUAACGCCCGUGGAGAAUGUCAGCCAUAUAGAAGCAUUGUAUGUGAUUUGGUAUUUUUUAAUACUCUAUCAUUUUCAAGACAUUGAUCAAACAUGAUCAGUUCAAUUUCUUUUAUUUUUUCCAAAAACUCUCAUUUUUUCUUCUUGUAUCUUUUUCGUUUUCAAUACAUCAGUUUGGACCAAAAAAAUAAAAUAAAAUUGAAAAUAUGUAAAAGAUUCAUAAAUUAACUGAAAAACACUUUAUAGACUACCCAAAAUAUUAUCUUUGUAACUUGCAAAAACUUCAAAUAAACAUUCAAGUACUAACUAUUGGUAUUUAAAAAAUGCACUAUAUUUUAUCGAAUCAGAAUAAAUCCUUAUACUUUUUUAUUUUUAUUUGUUUUUAAUAUACUCAAGUUUUGGUAAUAAAAAGUAAGACAACAAAAGGGUAAAUUUGGAAUUACAUUUUUUAAUGUACUCAAAAUGAAUUUUUUAAAUAUUAUAUUUUAAAAUGAGCUGUAAAUAAACAAAUAGUUUAAAGUAAAGGAGGCAAGUGAGAUUUUUCAAUAUUUGUGAGUGCCAAGUAAAAUUGUUAGAAACCUCCGGGGAGGUUUAUGAAAUUAUUCCAAACAAAAAUUUAGAAUGAAUAAGUUGCUUUUUAUAACGGUUCUAAAGGUUGCUUGAGACUUUAUAAAUUAGGUGUCUUGAGUUUGCAAAAAUAAUUUCUUGCAUAUCUAUAGCUAGUGGAAACGGAGUUUAAACUUGCUAUAGGUUAGUUUCUUGUUUUCCAUUGUAUCCUAAAGGGUAAUUUGUCAUUCAACCUAAUUUUAUUCUGAUUUUAUCUAACUAAUAAAUUAGCUUAUGGAAAAAUGGGUAAAUGGAUAAUUUAUGGAGGAAAGCCAUAAAGACCUGGUGUUUUAUUGAAAAACGGGUUUAUUUUUAUUUUAUCCGAUAAAUAAAUUUGUUUAUGAAAAAAUAGGUACUCUGUUCUUAUAAUGGAGGAAAGCCAUAAAGAACUGGUGUUUUAUUGAAAAACGGAUUUAUUUUUAUUUUAUCCGAUAAAUAAAUUUGUGUAUGGAAAAAUAGGUACUCUGUUCUUAUAAUGGAGGAAAACCAUAAAGAGCUGGUGUUUUAUUGGAAACGAGUUUAUUUUUAUUUUAUCUGAUAAAUAAAUUUGUUUAUGGGAACAUAGGUACUCUGUUCUUAUAAUAGAGGAAAUCCAUAAAGAGCUGAUAUUUGAUGGGAAAAUGAUACUUUAGGAUACCAAUGGAUAACAGUUAAAACACAUUCACAGGUUUAGUAUUUUAAAUAAUGAGAUUGUUUUUAGGGGUGUUUUUAUGGUUGUAUUUUGGGAUAUUUUUAGAAUUUAAGAAUUAUUUGAGAUAUUUUAUAAAAAUUUCAACCACCCACCACCACACACAGGGACCACGGGCUAGCGAUUUUGUGCAUUUUGCACACCGACCCAUAAAGAGCGGGUGCUUUAUUCAUAUAUUGGAGGAGUGCCAUAAAGAGCUGGUAUGUUAUGGGUAAAUGGGCACUUCAUGCAGCAAAGCUGUAAAUUGGUAGCAUUUCUAUAAAGAAUAAAUGAAAAACGGGUAUAAUUGGCCAUUUGCUCUGAUUUUAUCUGAUAAAUAAAUUAUUAAUCCUACGAUACCCUGCAUAAUUAAUAAAAAAUUUAUGAAAAAAUGGGUAUAACAUGUUAAACCCACAUAUUCGCCAUUUACUCUGACUGUAUCUGAUAAAGAAAUUAUUAAUCCUUCGGUACCCUAGACUUAUGAAAUGGAGACUGGUGGGUUAUGCAUGCAACAUGAAUUAAAUAAAUAAUUUAUGGAGGAGUGAUAUAAAGAGCUGGUAAUUUAUUGGAAAAAGGGCAAAAUGAGCACUUUAUGGAGGAAAGCCAAAAAUAAAUAGUAAUUAAUAGGAACACGGGUAUUACAUAUUAAACCCAUUUAUUCACUAGAAAUUUUACUCUGAUUUUAUCCUGUGAAUAAAUUAGUAUUUUUGGAAUUUAUACAUAAUUAAUUUUUUUCUUUUGCAUUUCUAUAAAAAAUUAAUCGAAAAUUUUUUUCCGAGAGCACAAAAAUUCACAAGUCAAAAGAGUUGGUCUAAAAGGGAAAGAAACAGAUGAAUAUCAUUGUUUUAAAUACUAAAUAAAUAGAUGUAAAAUAUUCGUUAAAAGCUGGUACUUUGAUCAUAUAAUGAAGAAAAACUAUAAAGAGCAGGCCAUUUACGGGAAAAAUUUUCAUUAAUAAAAAUACGUAACGUGAGGGGGAGAGGGGGCCAAUUGGGGUGGGAGUGGCAGUAGCAGUGUGUGGUGGGUGGUGACAGGGGUGGUGGUGGGAGGGAGAAGAAAAGGGAGGAAGAAGAGGGAGAAGAGAGGAGAGUGAAAGAGGAAGAAAAGAGAGAGAGAGAGAGAGAGAGGAGGACAAGGGGGGUGGCAGUGGGUGGGAUGAGGGGCAGGAGUGGUCAUCAGAUGGACCGCUCCUGAGCUGUUCACAGCCAAGAUUUGGCCCAAAAAAAUUGUACGGUUCAGAUCACUUCUUGUAUCUCGUUUUUAACAACGUGUGUGGGGUCCACAAAAAUUUGUUCUAAAGUUACGCGUUGUGUAAAUAAAGUUACGUCAUGUGCAAAUAAAAUUACGCAGUGUGCAAAAUACACAAAAUCGCUAGCCCGUGGUCCUAGUGGGUGGUGGUGGGUGGUUGAAAUUUUUAUAAAAUAUCUCAAAUAAUUCUUAAAUUCUAAAAAUAUCCCAAAAUACAACCAUAAAAACACCCCUAAAAACAAUCUCAUUAUUUAAAAUACCAAAUCCGUGAAUGUGUUUUAACUGUUAUCCAUUGGUAUUCUAAAGUAUUAUUUUUCCAUCACAUAUCAGUUCUUUAUGGCUUUCCUCCAUUAUAAGAACAGAGUACCUAUGUUCCCAUAAACAUAUUUAUUUAUUAGAUAAAAUAAAAAUAAACUCGUUUCCAAUAAAACACCAGUUCUUUAUGGUUUUCCUCCAUUAUAAGAACAGAGUACCUAUUUUUCCAUACACAAAUUUAUUUAUCGGAUAAAAUAAAAAUAAAUUCGUUUUUCAAUAAAACACCAGUUCUUUAUGGCUUUCCUCCAUUAUAAGAACAGAGUACCUAUUUUUUCAUAAACAAAUUUAUUUAUCGGAUAAAAUAAAAAUAAACCCGUUUUUCAAUAAAACACCAGGUCUUUAUGGCUUUCCUCCAUAAAUUAUCCAUUUACCCAUUUUUCCAUAAGCUAAUUUAUUAGUUAGAUAAAAUCAGAAUAAAAUUAGGUUGAAUGACAAAUUACCCUUUAGGAUACAAUGGAAAACAAGAAACUAACCUAUAGCAAGUUUAAACUCCGUUUCCACUAGCUAUAGAUAUGCAAGAAAUUAUUUUUGCAAACUCAAGACACCUAAUUUAUAAAGUCUCAAGCAACCUUUAGAACCGUUAUAAAAAGCAACUUAUUCAUUCUAAAUUUUUGUUUGGAAUAAUUUCAUAAACCUCCCCGGAGGUUUCUAACAAUUUUACUUGGCACUCACAAAUAUUGAAAAAUCUCACUUGCCUCCUUUACUUUAAACUAUUUGUUUAUUUACAGCUCAUUUUAAAAUAUAAUAUUUAAAAAAUUCAUUUUGAGUACAUUAAAAAAUGUAAUUCCAAAUUUACCCUUUUGUUGUCUUACUUUUUAUUACCAAAACUUGAGUAUAUUAAAAACAAAUAAAAAUAAAAAAGUAUAAGGAUUUAUUCUGAUUCAAUAAAAUAUAGUGCAUUUUUUAAAUACCAAUAGUUAGUACUUGAAUGUUUAUUUGAAGUUUUUGCAAGUUACAAAGAUAAUGUUUUGGGUAGUCUAUAAAGUGUUUUUCAGUUAAUUUAUGAGUCUUUUACAUAUUUUCAAUUUUAUUUUAUUUUUUUGGUCCAAACUGAUGUAUUGAAAACGAAAAAAAUACAAGAAGAAAAAACGAGAGUUUUUGGAGAAAAUGAAAGAAAUUGAACUGAUCAUGUUUGAUCAAUGUCUUGAAAAUGGUAGAAUAUUAAAGGGCAAAAAACCUGGGCGGCCAUUAAACUUUUCCCAAGAUCAUGUUUUGGCCAUCGAACUAUUUUUUGUCAAUAAUUGGCCACUAAACAACUUAAUCAGGCCACCCGUGACCAUUUCGUCGAUAAUAGCUCUUAAUUUCUGAAAUUAGCAUUACACGUGGCAAACCACAGGGGCAAUUUUGUCCGUCAAUCCACUGACCGUUCACUUACAUUAAUACAUCAACUGAAAAGAAAAAAAAGAGCGGUAGAAACAAGCCAACUAAACAAACUGAAGUGUCUGGUCUUGUGGAGGAAAAAAUAGGGACUCAAUUUCUAGCCCUAAAUUCUGUGUCAGAAAUCGAAGAAGCCAAGAAUGUCGAGACGCUCUCCUAAACCCAUACCUAGAUGCUCCUGCGGAUUAACAGCAAUGGUGAAGACCUCAUGGACAAAUUGGAACCCAGCAAGAAGAUUUGUGGUCUGCACUUUAGGAGAGGUAAGAUCUUAGAGAGGUAAGAUGUUAGAUUUGUAAUGGAAAUAUUAUAACAAGAGGAUUUAGUCUUGGAAAAUGUAAAUUGCAGGAUGAGGGAUGUGGUUUUUGGGAAUGGUAUGAUCCAACAAUGUGCGAAAGAUCAACUCAAGUGAUUCCUGGUUUGCUGCGAAGAAUGAAUAGAAUGGAAAGUAAUAUGGAGGAAUUAGAAACUUCAGCAAGAAGAUGGGAAAAUAAAGCUCAAAAAUUGGAACUUAAAGUUGCAAAAUUGGAGGGUGAAGUGAAAAAGCACAAGACCAGAGAGCACUAUCUCAAAAGAGCUCUUCUCGGUACAUGGGCUUUUAUAUUGUUGUAUUGUUUUUGCUGCUAUCUGAAGACUGUUAUUAAGAGUGACCAUAUGUUGGCCAUCAAGGGAUAGUUAAUGUUGUUUGGUGAUUGUGAAGAAAUGGAAGUAGCAAGGUUGAGUGGAUACAGCUUUUGGUGGUAGUGUCCGUAGCAAUAGCAGACCAAAGAUUCCCAUGUUGUAUUUUAUAGUGAAUUUUUCAUUGGUUUGUUUUCUUAUGUAAUGGAAUCCUUGCUGUAAUUGUGUUACUUUUUACUGAAUGAAUGGAUGCAAGUUUUUUGUCGUUUCUUAUGAAUUGCUGUAAUUGUAGUUUCUUAUGAAUGCGGCAUUAUAACACAGUAAAUUAAGACAAAAGGAGUAUUUCCAUUGGAUAAAACUAACUACAAAAGUUUCCAAUUUGCAGAAGUACACAGCUUUCUGUUGAAUAUGCAAAAAGAUAGUGGAUGAAAAACAAAAGGCAUCCACCAUAACAAAACAAAAGCCAUCCACUAUCAACAUGAAGUGGAUCCUGCAGUUAAACUUUAAUGCAUCUAUUUUAACAGCCCACUGAACUUAAAUAAACUAUUAUAAGUCAAAAGACUUAUGUACAUAUCAGUCACCAUCAUCAACAUCUCAGAUCACAUCUAAAACUGUAUCCAAUUCCAUCUAACUUGCACCUGCACCUCUGCCUCUUGUAGAUCUAGAUCUAGAUCUACCAGCAUUUGCACCUCUUCUACCCCUCCACCUACCAACCUUGAAGGGUGGUUCCUUUCCCAAGUAGGCAUAGUUAGCAUUAAUCAUCCCUUUGUCAGCAUCAGUCAAGGGCCGUUUACCAUUUCUGUUGAAUUUCCUGCCAGAUCUAGAACUUGUAGCUGCUGGAUCUGGUUGCUGAACUACUGGUAUUGGCUGUUGAAGUGGUGGAGUUGGGUGUUGGGACAUUAGAUCUGAUUGCUGAGUUGCAGAUGCGAUUGGUUGGCUUGGUUGGCUAGCUGAUGGAGUUUCCUGUUGCUGUUGCCCUUGGGUCUCUAUACCUUGUGACUGAACUACUUUUGCUUGCUGUUUUCUUCUUGAAACCUUGUACAAAUGGAAGUUGAUUAGAGACUAUAUGUAUGUAUACUAUAUGACAUUUGAAAUACAUUGAACUGUAUGUAUACUCACAUGUUUUUUCUUCUUUGGCUGGCCAGAUUGUUGGUGCUCAGUCACCUCUUUGCAUGUUGCAGCAUUGUGCCCUGUUUUACCACAUUUUCUGCAAUGCAUAGUGACAUUUUUUCUAAGUUUUCUUCCAUGGUUCUUCCCUUCUGUCUCAUCUCUUCUCCUUGCCUUUUUUGGCCUCCCAGGCUGGACAGUGGGAAUUGGAGGAUCAAGUUGAAGCAUGCUGGACUCAGGCCACAGUACUUGGCUGCUGAUGGGUUGCAAGACAUUAUUAUAAAUCUGUAAAAAUAAGCUCUUGUAGUAACAUUCCACAAUCAUUUCAUGUGGAUCAUCCUCAGUUUGCUUAAUUGCUGCAAUGGCAUGGGUACAAGGUAAACCAGAUAAUUCCCAGAUUCGACAAGUGCAACUCUUCUUUCUCAAAUUCACAGCAAACUGGGAAUUCCUUGGGCCCUUUACCUGAUAACCAUCAAUCCCAUUGAACUGUGGGAACCACUGGAAAGACUCUUCAAUUCUGUCCUCAAUAAUUUUUCUAAUCAAAGGACCAGUUGAGUGUGGAUAUCUAGUCAUGGCAGCCUUUCUUUUUUGAAUUCUUUCCAUCAUCAGUUCUCUAAUAUUCUCCAAGCAAGAUAUAAUUGGUUUAUCCCUGGCCUCUAGUAUAUGUGAAUUGAAAGAUUCGCAUAGAUUAUUGACAAUCAUGUCACAUUUAGUGUGAGGAGAAAAGUAAGCCUUACACCAAUGCAUCGGAUGAGGAGCCUUCUCCACCCACUUGUAUGCUUCAUUGUCAUACUCUUUCAAGUCCUCAGCAGCUUUCUUGUACAUCUCAAUUGUACUACUCCUAGCUAUCGCCCACAGCAUCCCUUUAAGUGCCUUUCCAGGAUGUUUCUUCUUGAAAUUUUGAUACAUGUGCUGCACACAGUAUCUAUGCUCAGAGUUGGGUAGCACCUCGGAUAAUGCUCUGUCCAAUCCCUGCAUAAAAAAUAAAUGAAUUAUUGGUUCAAACAGCCACAAGGCUCACAUCAAAUGUUGGAUAAUAAGAUCCAUACCUUUUGUUGAUCAGAGAUGAAAGUGUAGUGACACUGAUUAUCUAUUUCCAGAUCCGCUUGGAGAAGUUGUAAGAACCAUUUCCACUGUAUUGUAGCUUCCUUCUCCACUAUGGCCCAAGCAAUAGGCCACCAACCAUUGUUGGGAUCAACUGCCACUGCUGAUAACAGUUGACCAGGGUAAGGCCCUUUUAUAUGGCAGCCAUCAAGUCCAAUCACAGGUCUACACAUUUUGAAUCCUUCUUUUAGUGCACCUAAACAACAGUACAGUCUCAUGAACCUAGGAUUCGAACCUGGAUCUCUAAAUGGAGUGAACUCGACUACCAUGGUAGAAUUAGUAUGAGUCUUCUUAAUCUCCUCACAAUAUUCCCAUAUAUGCUUAUACUGCUCGACUGCACAACCUUUGAUUCUGUCAACAGCUAUACCUCUAGCAUUUCUGGCUAUUGUUUUCGAUAUUUGUAUCUUGUACUCCUCAUGCACUGUCUGCCUUAAAGAAUGGAUUGGAAUGUUCAUAUUGGCCAUAAUUCUGUUCUCAUAUCUCUCAGCAACCCAUUUAGCAGUCAUCAUUUUAUUUUUCCAGGCAUGACUGCAGUUUUCAUGUACAUCAUAAAGGGUCUUAAUCACCAAAUCAUUCGUCCCAAGUGCUUUCUCUUGAGAAGCAUAACACUCCCAGUUACAUGGAUCCUUGCACCUUACCCUUACUCUCAGUUCCUCAUUAGUGUAAUACCAAACAGGUCUACCAUUAGCAAUCGAAUAAUUCUGCAUUGCGGCCUUAAACUCAACUGAUGAUGCAAAUCGCAUCCCAACCUGGAAAUGUGGAUUUCUCAUGUUCUUUUCAGCAUUGAAGUCAACAUAUUUGAUUCCCUUCUGCACUUCAUCAUCUUCAUCAGAAGAAGCAUCAAUGCUAUGCAGGUCAUCCUCCAUCAUAUUGUCAUGCAACACAUCUUCAUCAUCAGCUUCUUCCAUUUCCUCAGCAGCUUCCUGUGAUGAUGUGUUAUGGUCAGCCUGUGCUGAUGAUGUCUUCUCCCUUCUUGCUGACCACUUUCUUUUUCCUCUUGUUGUUUUUCUAGGAUACUUUUUCUUUGCUCUCUUGCUGCCACCAGAUGAUCCAUCAGUUGCCUGUGAUUGUUUUUCAGCUUGGGCAUCGCGUUGACCAUCUCCAUGUGUACCACUUUCCAAGCCAUUUACAUCCUGGCUCUCAUGAAGUAUAGAUUCAGUAGUUCUCCUCAUAACAGGAGAGGGAAUUUCAACUGUGGGAGUUGGUUUCUCACUCCCAAGCAUUUGAUCAUCUUUGCAAAACUCUUCAUCAUCAGUGAAAUGCUCCCUUUCUGAACUGCUGUCAUUUUUAUCAUCUUCUUCACCUGCCCUUGCAUUCACAUCAGUUUUAUCUCCUUGACUCCUACUCUUUACACCAGUCCCACUAGUUUCUCCCUCAAUGACAACACUUACUCUUACACCUUUACCUCUACUUGUACCUCCUAUUGCUGGUCCAGGGGCAGUCAUAUUUGUACUAACAAAAGAGCUAUCAAAAAGAUUUUUUCUAACCACCAAUUGUUUAUCAAGUUCUACAACUCCACUGCCAUGUUCAUCUACAACUACACUACCAUGUUCAUCAAUUUCUUCAAUUACAACCCCUGUUUUUUUCUUACUACCUAACAGCGGGGAAUGUGACUGGAUGUCAAGAAUUUCAUGUAAAGGCCUAUGGUCACAGUAAACAUCUAUCAGUUUGUGCUCGUACGCCCAUUUGCACAUUGCCACUAUAUCUGCAUCUCCUUGUAACUCUCUUAAUCCCUUAUUCAAAUCACUCCCAGGUUCUAAGUAAUAGUAAAGCAUUGCACCAUUAUAUCCUAAUUCCUCAACCAUGUCAUUUAUCUCAUGGACAGACAUUCUCUCCGCAUCACACGCAUCAAGAUAAUCUAUUUCACCACCAACGUAUGUUUUAUACUGACGCCCACUAAAUCUACCACCAUGAAACAUUCUAAUACUGAAUAGUUCAGAAUUAGGCACUGCAAUGAAAUGGGAAAAAAAAAGGAAUCACUUCAUUUGAAAAAAAAAGACUAAAAAAAACACUUGUUUAUUUCAAAAUUUCCCACUUUUACAACCGGCAGUUGGAUGAAAACCCUAACAUUUAAACUUUAUAAUGCUGCUACAUAUUCACAACCCACAAAUAAGCACCUUCGAUUUCAGACACAAACUUGAGUAAUACACCCAUUACAUUUAGUUUAAAGUAUAGUUUCAGUUCAUUCACAUGAUUUUCCCCAAAAAAUAACUUACCGUAAAUUUCAUAUGGAUCAAUGUCGAUGUCUCUUCUCCUGAUUUUCCACUCCAUAGAUUCACCACGAUUUUCCCUUCUCUUCGAUCUUCAAAACCCUUCUCUUCGAUCUUCCUACAACGAUUUUGAGAACUUCAGUUUGUUUAGUUGGCUUGUUUCUACCGCUCUUUUUUUUCUUUUCAGUUGAUGUAUUAAUGUAAGUGAACGGUCAGUGGAUUGACGGACAAAAUUGCCCCUGUGGUUUGCCACGUGUAAUGCUAAUUUCAGAAAUUAAGAGCUAUUAUCGACGAAAUGGUCACGGGUGGCCUGAUUAAGUUGUUUAGUGGCCAAUUAUUGACAAAAAAUAGUUCGAUGGCCAAAACAUGAUCUUGGGAAAAGUUUAAUGGCCGCCCAGGUUUUUUGCCCAAUAUUAAAAUAUACCAAAUCACAUACAAUGCUUCUAUAUGGUUGAUAUUCUCCACGCGCGUUAGGACUACAACAUAACCGGUCUGUUAGCACCUUUAUUUCCAAAUACACGUGUCAUGCUCUACUCCUCUGCCUACGGUGGGACGGUCAAUGCCCUUCCCACCAUAAAGGUAUCCCCUUCGUCCCAGUGCCAUAAUUGAGAAGACAAGUUUCACCCUUUUCUCUGUAGUUUUCUUCAUAGAUUUGCUGUAGGCCCUCCUAGAAGGAAAGCACCAGUAAAAGGUGGAGCCCGUCAUUUUCGAGGACUGGAAUCGACUAAUGUUUGGGAUGAGAACAAAUAUAUUUUCUUCAUGGAUUUGCUCUAUAGGCCCUCCUAAAAGAAAUGGACCAAUGUAACGAACAGUCAGUCCUUUGAGGAGUGGUGUAAAUUAAAAGAUUUACAAUAAGGGAUGAGAACAAAUAUCUCGUAACAAUAUUAGUGCUAAGGAUUAUGUUAAAACUGUUGUCCCAAUUUAGAGAUACACACGUCUCACAUUCAUUUGUAUUUCAUGACCAUCUGCUUCAAAUUCCUAACUCGUGUACUUUUCCCUCCUAUGUACCAGCAAAAUUUCAUGUUUUCCUUAGUAAGGAUUUCAGCACCUCCAAGCUUUGUAAGGAUUGCAACACUACCAAGUUUCUCUUGCCACACUAUCCUUUAAGUUAGAGGAAUUUAACAUCUUUGAUCAACCUACCAUAGAUGACAGUCCAACAUAUUUUUGAUGAGCCUCUGCUUCAGGAAUAUUCAUACAAGAUGUUAUUGCAUUUACGGGAUUCUGGUUUGGUAUUUUGGCCAAAUGCAACUACUAGUCUCUCAAAAUUGAUUUUCUUGUCGUCACGUUUAACUAGAAAUUACAAUUCUUCAGAUGAGAUCCAUUUCAUCCAAAAAAAUUGAGUGAGAUACUUUAGUAGCACUAGUUCUUGAACCUCUCGCUUCCCAUCAUCCCAUGAGGGUGCCCGGAUUUUCCUGAGAAGAGGUAAUGUACUGUGUUUCUGUGGUAGUAUGUGUUGAAUGGUUGGGAGCAGGGAUACUAUUUAUCAUAAACACAGUACCAUACAUGAGUAUGGAUGAUCAUAAAAAAUACCUACAUCCUAUGCCAAUUAUCUGGGAAGAUUAUAACAUGGUGUGGUUAAGUAGCGUAUAGAUACCAGUAGCAAUCCCAAGGCUACAUUGAUCAAGAGCAUCCAACCAAAAAACUGUUGGGUGAUUACUUUUUUUUUUUUUUUGGUAUAACCCACAGGUAUCCGCAUCUGUUUUACAAUUUACGACUAAUCCUGUUUGAGUUACAUCGGACCUUCUUUGCAAGGGAAGUUCUCCUAAUAUUGUUUUUUCCAUUCCCAUGUAUUUUGAAUCCGAGACCUCAUAUUCAAAAGAUGCAAGCCUCUUCACUUGCACCGACAUCCGUUGGUGUUGGGCGAUUACUUAGUCUAAUAGAUUCCGUUGACAAUUCUUCGGCAGAAUUGAGGGUUGAAGUUGUAGAAAAGCUAUCUGGCAUUUUGUCUCGGUGGUCAUCUUAAAUAUGCGUUCAAAAGCUGUACGCGCUGGACAAAAUAGAUAUGGAGAGGGCUGCUUGUGGUCAUUAGUCCAUCUGGGGAUCUUGAGAGUGCAUGGAGUAAUUGUCGCUUCCGUUUGGAUUAACUAUUUUUCGGGAUAUUUUUAAAAAUUUUUAUUGUAGCAGAGUUUUCAUAGUAUAUUUUAGAAUAUAUUUUGGGAUAUUUAAGAGUAGAAGAGUUUUUAGAAUAUAUUUUGAAAUAUUUAAGAGUAGAAGAGUUUUUAGAAUAUAUUUUGAGAUAUUUUUUAAACAUUAAAAAAAAUUUAAACUACUUUUUAGAGUACUUUUUAAAAAUUUUAAUAGUAUUUGGAAAACUAGUUUUUGAGAUUGAUUGUUUUUUCUUGGGCUGAGACUCGUAGUGUUCUUUUGACCAAUUGUCAGUUUGGCGUAGUGGCUUGGUUUUUGUCAGGCUGCUGAGUCUAAGGACUGCAGCAUAAUAAAGGCUCAAUUUGAGCAUUAGUCUGUUAAUUCAAUAGGAUUGUACAAACGAUGCUGUUUUGGUCUUGCUUAAGUACUAGUAAUCGAUGUCGUUUCAUGAGCCAUUAGUUAGGUAAUUCAGUUGUAAUCGUCUGACACAAGCUGUUAGAAUUGGUUAUAUUAGGCGGGGCCCACAUGAAUGAGGGUAACAGAAUAGAUUCGAUCAUUUCUUCCACUUCCUCUCUUCUGAAUCUUCUUCUCUCUCUCUCUCGACCUUCAAUUCCCUGCUCCUUCUCCAAUUUCUCCAAUUUCUACCAAAUUCAUCCUAGAUCUAUCUCACAAUUCCAGAAACAACCUUGAGUUCGUGACAGUUUUCAACUGGUGGUAGAGCCGCUGGCUCAGCCACAGCAGGUAAGCAUGCCAAAACAUUGUAUCGAGUCAGAUUUCUGUCCUUGAAGGAAUAGUAGAUCCUGAUUUGGAAGUAGACAGUUUCAUCUCUCAGUCUUCAUUUAGGAGUUGGAUAUGAGGCCCUUCAUUCUGCAAAGGGAGAUAAUGGAGGAUAGCAUUGAUGAGUUUUUGUUGGAGUGCAAGAAGCAAAGAAGAAUUCUUGAUAAAAACAAGAUAACCUGGAGCGCCAUAUCCGCAACGUCUUCACUUGUAAUUUCAAAGACUCCAAUGAGUAUCUCAGGUAAGGCUCCAAACAAAAGCAGAUGUAAAGGGAAAAUCACAAAGAAGUUCGAAGCUUGUUUAUCCGAGACCCUCACUCAAAUAUACUGUAUAUAGAUCUCUUGUCGUCUUGAGAUAUACGAUCACAAGCCUAAAGAAAAUAGAUAAAUCAACAUCACGACCUUUUCUCUUCUGAAAAAAUUGCUGUUUUCUGUUAAAAAUACAUCACGAACAAAUCUAAUAGAUACAAUUGGCCGGAACCACCCCAGGGAAUCCCAUGUGCUAUUUCAUUAUACAGAAACCAAUUAAUGAAGCCUCGCUACUUUAGAAGGGGAAAAAAAUAUAUAAGGAAAAGUGAGAAAUAAGAAAGCCCCCAACCCGGAAGGAGAAAACCUCACUCAAAGAACUACAUGGUUGAAAAAGAAUCUCAAAACUUCGAUCUCCAAGAAACCCAACUCCAACAAAGCUAAGCCGAUCAGAUACAAUGGUACAGCCCUGAAUCCCGCCAGCCCUUGCACUGUAUUGUUCGAAACCCACCUCAAUUUCCUGGGAUGCUUGGGCAGGCUGUCUGUAUAAUCAAUUUUACAAUAAUCGUCAUCGACAAAUUCUUCAAUGAUGAAAUAAGUAACUCAAAGCAAGCCAGCAAGCAAAGCCCCGGGAUCAGAUGUUGCCGAAGGUGAGGGUGGAAUUGUUGGCUGAGGUUGUGGAGGUACUGGUGCAGGCGGCCGGGCAACUAGAGGGAUGCUGACUAAUUGUUCUUUAAUAAAUUCCUUCAACCUGUACAUCAUCCAGAAGAACAUGUUUCGGGUUCAAAUUCAAGCUUAUAUCAUACAAUUGAAAGGUAAAGACUUCUGAUAGAAAUCAAAGCAAAACACGUACUCAAAAGUUAGAGUAGGAUCGCCCGAGGCAACAGUCAUCCGUAGUUGAGUUCUAUCUGCUGGAUCCGUUUCUACUCUAAGCUGCAUAACCAACAGACCAUCACAUCAGAAUGAUAGACAUGUUUUCAUAGUAGCAAAAGAGAAAUAAAUCACAAGCAACCUUUACUAAAUAAAAAGGGACGAAAGUCUACGGUACUAAUAGAAUAAACAAAGACGAAAAAAAUAAUGAAGAAUGGUACUAAUAGAAUAAACAAAGACGAAAAAAAUAAUGAAGUACAUAUUCUUGGAAUAGUUUAAUCACGUAUAUUAGCAUUACGUGGAGAAAACAAAGAACCAAACCCACUCAAGAACCAGGAUGACAGUAAAAUGGACAGUAAGUGGCAGCCAUUCUUAGAAAUAAAGCCACAACUGGCUUACCAAACACAACAUAGCUCGUGUACUCUCUGAAUAGAAAGUUGUGCUGGCAACCAAAUUGUUUGGGUUUGGAUCCUGCAAAGAAAAUAAGAGGUUAAUGCUAUGAGCAUUUAUAUGCAGUUAGGAAUAAUUCAAAUGUAAUGAACACAAACAGGAUAAAGUGAAAAACUUACAAGCCCUGGACAAACCAUCAACCUGUAACUGUUGAACAAAUUGGCCAUUUCUAGAAGUGGCAUUGGUCUUACUCCUCUAACCUGGUCAAAUGGAAUAGGAUAGUCAAGUUAUACAAGUAGAUCACUAUUGCUGAAUAUAUGGUCAAACUAAAAAAUAAAGCGAAAAAUACCACUUCUUGAAGCUUUAGAGGAGGUCCAGAAAGUGAUCUCCACUGGGGGAAAAACUCUUCACCGGACACUUGUAUAGGCUGAAGAAACUUAUUCAAGAGAGCAGGAAGGCGAAGUUUUACAUUGACCUGUUAAGUGAUCAGGGAAAGAUUAUUUAGAAUUAUACCACAAGUAUUAUGAGAAAAUAAAAAGAAUUUCAAACCACAACCCAAUAAAAAAAAUAUAAUAAAUAACCCUAGAAAUUUCAUACUCAAAAUCAGUUCGUUUAAAUGCCAAAAACUUUAUUAUGGGGUUACAAUACCGCAUGACUCGAAAACUUGUAGGAAAAAUCCAGAACAGCCACAUCCCUACUUGGCCGGAGAUUAACAACCUCGAGUGGGCAUUGCACCUAAACAACAAAACCAGAUGCUUUCAAUGGAUGAACAAUCUUAAAAGAAAUGCACACAGAGAAGAAAAUGGAAAAUAAACCUGCAGUUAACCAACCUGUGCUCUUGGGGGUAUAGUCUCUGGUACAAGUGAGAGUUCCAAUUUUAAGUGAGCUGGAGGCAAUAUUAAAGCUUGAACUGAAACAAGUGGUGAUGUAUUCUUAUUUCCAAGGAAAAGCACUAAUCGCCCAUGUGGGGCUCUCCAUUCUGCUUUAAUGCCAAUCUGAAAUUACUCAACCCCAAGAAAUCAGUUGUCUACAGAGAAGGCUUAAAGGAGGCUUGAGCAGCCCCAUCCAAACUGCAAAACUGAGAGCAUACCUGAAUAUAAGGAUCCUCAUACAGCACGCCACUGUCCUUUAGGCACAAAGCAUGAAACCUUUCAGCAAUAUUUCCAAUUGGCUGCAAGCAAUGAUCAGAGAGGAAACUCAAAAUCAUAAACACCACAAGAAAUGACAUAAUCAUCAUAAACACCAAAGGAAGUCCUAUGCCAUUUGCAAAAACUAAACGUACAAAAAACUCAUCAAAGUCAUUUUCCUUGACAUGGAAUCUGUAUGGAGAAAUACGCUUGCGUGUUACAGAAGAAAAAGGUGAAAAAGCUAAAAAUUAAAAUAAGAACAAACUCAUUCACACAAAUUACACCCUAGGGAAAAAUCCAGCUAUAACUUCUUAAUAUACUGCCAAUUCUUAAAUUUUUGCAACCGUAAAAUCUAGAAAAUGUUGUCUCCACUACUGGACAGUGCUAAUAUUAGCCUACAACUUGCACAAGAAAGCACCUGGACAGUGUUCAUCUGGUCUUCAACAGGAGCAAUAGCCAACGCCUCCCCUGCAUUUGGCACACCAGCCAAACCAGAGGCCUGAAUAUGCUCAGCUUCAGCAGUAGCACUAGGAGGGCCUUCAAUAGCCAUUGGACCCAGGAGAUCUUCAAAGGGCGGAUCCACAACAGUGAGUGUGCCAUUUGCUUCAGUCACAGCUGGAUCUGGAGAUUCACCAUCCUGAAAAUUUAUACAUCAAAUUAUAAUCUGAUGUGACAGUGAAGAAGUAGAGCGUCAAUAUCAACAAUUGGCUCACUAAAAUCCAGGGAAGGUCAUCUCACCACAUUACUCAUGGCAGGCACCUUUACAAGACUGAGCUGGCUCACAGUUGAAGGUCCAUUAGCAGGGUGCUGGUCGGUCACCACCAAAGCAUUAGAGUUCUGCUGCUGAGCACGCAACUUCAUUGCACUUUGCUCAGCAGUAUCAGCCUCAGAAUUUUCAGCUUUCUUAAUCAACGCAGACUGCAUAACAAAAAAACAUCACCACAAUUUUUAUCAAUCAUGGAUCAGAAUAAUACAAUAAUCAACUUUAAAGUGAAAAUCAAGUCAAAGAGUGCUUCUUCCACAAUGCUGAUUGCUGUAAUUGAUGAAACAGACAAUUGGAGAAUAAAUGAGAAUCUCAAAUGCACACCUGUCGCUCAGGGAACUUUGGCAUUUCAGCUAAUAUAUCCAUCAAAGCUGCACCUUUCCUACUCAGUUCAAUAUACUCAACAGCCCGCUGUUGUAGUUCAACAUCAAUACAACUUCCAUAUCUGAAAGUAUGUUAAAAUGUGCCAGUGACAUUGAAGAAAUUAAGUCAUUCACUGGAUGAAUUUCAAAUUAAAACGUGAAAUUAUCUCACUUGUUGAAUAUUGCCCAGAUUUGAGACUGUAGCUCCGGGUCAGGUGGUUGGGUGUGCAUCAAAAUCUUUGCAUAUGAUGAAAGAAGAAUAGAAACUGUUGGAGUCCUGAACAAACAUAUUGAAAUGAGGGAGGGAUAGCAAUGAACAAAUACUGAGAAUGAAAGACAACAAAGCCCAAAAUCCUUACGAAACAGAAGGAAGCUUCUCAUGCAUGACACUGAAAAUUUCUUUUGGAUUACAUCCAGGCCGUCUAGCCAGAAGAUGGCUGUACUCUCCAAGAAUAUAUGCACUUACCUAUUCCAAAAAAAAUUCAGAAUUACAGGAAACUCAGUAUUCAGAAAGGCCAAGUGGAGUCUACUUUAUCAGUUGACUGCAUUAAAAUAAAAAGCACCACAAAAUCAAAUUCUGCUAAUUGAUUUUCCUCCUUGAAGAUCAACAAGUAAUAUGCAGAAUGCUUGGCAUGUCAUUAACAUGAAGCUCUAUAAAAAUGUUCAAAUGGGAAAUUGAUCUAGUAGAAUCUCUGAUAAUAGAAAAUAUCAGCAGGCAUAAUUAGAUAGAGUAAGUGAAACUGAUAGAUAAAAGAACUAUGUUCAUUUACAUCUCUGUUAUGUAUGCAUAAACAAAGUACAUACAAUGUACAUAUAUAUAUGCUUAUUCUCCCCAAAAGACUACCCAUUGCGUUGAUCGACAUGAUUUUGCUAUUUGGAAACCAAGACUAGAAGGCAUUGUAAAUGAUCAUCAUAUUCCUGUUAAUCAAAUUUGAAGGCAAUGGGAACAAACCUUAACCAUUGUUUCAUGAACAGCAGGCUUAUCAAGAUACUCUCUGGCUUUCAGUGCAGCAUAAGGCUGAUAAACAAUACAAAGACAUAGGUUACUCGUAUGAAGAUUUAAAUUAUAUAAAUCCAGAAAAGAGCUACCCUCGUUACCUGUAAAUCCUCGUUAUUCGUAACGAACUGCACCACACGAAACCAAAUGUCAUCACUGACAAAAUCCCCUGCCUUGUCAAUCAACUGAAGGAUGACAUCCACAUACCUACAAGUGAAAAGUGAAAAGCAUUACAUAUGGACUCUAUUACUAGGUUACUGAAUAUUUGUUUAGGUUGGUCUUUGAAUGAAUGGACGGAUCAAAUCCCAUACCGACUUUUUGGACUUGAAAGCCUACAAACUAUAGUACUCGAAGUUCCUGAGUUUCCUACUACUACUUGUUAGAUUCAAAAUUUGUGCAAAUUACAGUACUUGAAGCUCCUAAGAAUACCAAUCCCACCCAAGAAUUUGCAAUUCAAGCAUACACCAAAUCAACCAAGUAGAAUGACUAAGCUUGAUAGCAAAAUAUGUAUUUAUCUUUGGAGACAUUUCCAUACCAUGACAAAUCAGGGGCAAACUUCUCCGAUAGAAUUGCAAUUUUUAGUGACAAUUCUUCACGCAUAGCAAAGUCUGCAGAGCUGAGAUACUGAAAACAGAUAAACAUUAGCACGGGAAAGAACUUCAUUUGCAUUAGUACAAAAGCAACUACAUACGAAUAAUAAUUUAGAAGCUAGACGGGACAUCUGCAGUGCUUGGUCCAGCAUAUAUAUAUAUAUAUAUACACACAUACAUAUAGAUAUAUACCUGUAAUAAUUCUUCAACUAUGUCCUUUGCGUUGGAAACAUCACACAUGCCAUAUAGCAAAUCAAGUGCACGCCUUCGGAUGCUGUUGAUAAGAAUAAGAGUCAAUCAUAAGAAAGAUAAAUAACAGAUUUUUGUAUUUAGUUUGUGAGAGACUUGUGGUGUGAUAUAAUUUGUGUUUCAUCAUCACUUGUUUUGUGCCUCGGGUCCGCCCCCCAUUAAUUCUAUAUUUUCAUUGGGUACUACUAAAACCUUACUUACCCAAAAAAAAAAAAAGAGAUAAUUAGCGGAUGGCUUAACACUCCAAUGUAUACAUGUUAAAAAAAAACCCCACAAACACACACACACACAAAAACAAUCUCACAGGAAAAAAAAUAUUGUACUGAAAGACCUUAAUAGUAACCUACUGAUGUUUUAGCAAAAUAAAGAAGCUCCGGCAUCCAGUGAAAAUUUCUUAUUUCUUUGAAUUAGUAUCUUAAGUUCUAGGUAACCAACCUUGUAUAUUACACGUGAAAAUAUUUCUUACAUGAUACGACCAUGUAUCUCACUCUACAUGCCUUCAGUUACCUAUUGUGCAGCUGUUAGAAAAGAGAACCACAAGGGAAAUUCCACAGAAGAACACAAAGUACUUCAUCUACCUGAUAUCAGGAUCCUUUAAUGAGGUAAUGAUCUGGGCUUGAUGUCUUUUUAUAAUGUCCUGUACAUCUGUUACCAUUAACAUCCGCGUCAUAUUCUCCUGUGUCACAGAACAAAGAAAGUAACCAGGUCAGUGCCACCAUCUCAAACUUUCUAAUAUGAGAGUGGAUGGGCCACAUCUGCAGGCUCUAAACAUCACUUAUUAGGACAAUGCAAACAACCUAUUUAAGCAGCAGAAGUAUAUAGGACAAUACAAAAACAGCAGGAAGGAAGAAGGGUAGGACAUCAGAGACUUCAGUGCAUAGAAAGCGGAAAGGAACAACUUACCAAGCCAAGAUAUCGAAUAUUUGGCUCACGCACAGCAAUAAAUUUCCCAAGCAGUGCAACACACUGGGACAUCAUCUCUUUUUCAGCAUCAAGAUGCAUGACCUGAAUAAAAGAUGACAAAAUUUGGAAAAAUACCACUAAGUAUGUGCAUAGAUGAAAUAGUUUGAAACGAACCACUGGUUCAAAACAAGUUGCAGCAUGGUUUUCUAGAGCAACCUUAACACAUUUAAGAAAGCAAUGGCUAUAACUGAGAUACAAUUAAACAGCAUAUUUGCAAUGAUAUAUCAAGUUCAGAAUUCUGCCUAAAAGUCUCUUGAAAUAUCAUGACACAACUACCAAGUCUAUUCAUUCUAGCCAGGAAACAUAAAGAGCAAAUAAGAAUAAGAUUCUUUUUUUUAUGAGACAUUUCAAGAAAAAAAUUCCACAGCAGUAUAGCUCAAAACCUAAAUGUUCAUACUUGUUUUUUUACUCAUUUGAUACUAAAUCCAAAUUCAGAAAAUCAAUUACUUCUCAAAUUUUGUACUUGCAGUAGGAAAGGAAAUUUAACUGACACUAUUACCUUUCCACUCAUAUUGCUCAAUCUCAAACAUAUCUCAAGCAGUAAUUAUAAUUCUUCCAAAAGAAACUAUGGAAAUAAUGCAAAUCAAUCGGCCUCUUGGCUCAAAUUUACUGUUGAAAAAUCUACCCAUCAAAAGAAUCCUAAAACAAAUGAUCACUAACUACAGUACAACACACUCAAUGGUAACUUACAAGAGCAAGGGCUUCAAAAAGCACAGCAUGGGAUGCAUUAUUCUUGUUGACAUUUUUCACUACAUCAGUUCCCAUGAGUAUCCGUUGUAAAACCUAAUUAACCAAGAUAAAUCAAACAUCAUAUCCAAUAACAAGUAAUACACUGGGAUAUAAGAUUCAGUGAAGAAACCAUCAAAAACUUCAUUUGUAAAGGAAGAACACCUCAAAUAAUGAUCUUCUAGUGUUUGGAUCUUCAACAGUAGGAAAAUACUGAAGAGCCCUCAUUGUCUUAACCUGGAUCAUGUAAUAGUGAUUAUUAAACAUAACUAACAAUUUAAAACGUCACUUAAAGAAAUAUAUUGCAUGAUACUAAUUGAUGAAAAAAAUUGAAUUGAUAUAAUCACCCACUUUUUUCCUUUUUCCAAAUCCAUUCACACCACAAAAUUAUGCAAGAUGCAAUGGCAACUAAACUACAUCAAAGAAUACCCUUCUACAUUCUAUAACUGCUUCUCUCUAAGUGCGUACCCGUUCAUCCUGUAAAUCAAUCUCGUUCAACCUAAGAACUUUCAGAUAAUUUAAGAUUUAAGAUCAUUUCUAAAAAAGUCCUAAAUCAUAAUUUUUGUUGCUAAUUGUAAGAGCAAUUUCUGUAAACGUGUCUUGAUUUAUGAAGGCUCACCAUAGAAACCUGCAAAAAGUAUUAUGCACAGACAAGUUUCAUGGUACUUACUGACACACACCAGAAUAUGUUGAAAUACAAAAGAAGAAAGCCCAUCAAAGAAAAUUUUCUGCGCUAUACCUACCAAAGGAUUUUCUCCUGCGAGUAACAUGAUUUCCCUUGUAUGCUCAAUUCAACUCCAAUAAUGUGAUUUUAAUAAAUGCACCAAGAUUAACCCCUCAAAUCAAUUAGUUCCAGCUUUGAAAUUAUAAUCCAUGCACUUUUGGGAUUCACAAAUUUGUAGUCCUCUAAAAUCUAGAAUUAUGCUCCACCUGAAUUGUCCAAAUUAAAAAAGGAUCCAAUACAACUGAAUUUACAUCUUUACAGUUUAAGAUGGAGUUCUCUGUUGAGAAUUAUGCUCAAAUCCAAAAUCUUGGACUCAAGAAACAAUAAAUGCAAGUUAACCAUUCAAUAUGAGUUAUUUACAGUAUUGCAGCCCUAACAACUAACUCAGAGUUUAACAGAAAAGGCAUACAGACCUGAAGCCAGGGAGAUGGAAUACCAUAGUAAGUGUAUUCUUGUGGAAUAUCUUGGUUCCUUGCCAGCCUUUCCAAAAUUUUAACACACUUUGGCAGACAACUCCAGUAUGUGUCAUGGUUAUUCGACACUAAGGCAACUAAAAGGCUCAUUGAAGAUGUUAAGACACCCAAAUCACGUUCAUCUAACAGUUGUGCCAUUUGAUCUGACCUGAUAAUAACAACAAAUAGCUUAUCAAAUUUGCAAUGGUACAAUUAUCCAUCAAAUAUGUCUACAAUUUUAUACUAAUUACCAGCCAUCCACAUUCACAACAUCAGGAUUUUUUCUAAACAGGCGUAGGAGACAUAAAGCAGCCUUCUUCCUCACAAGGGGCCUGCAACUACUGGAUAGCUGAAGGGAAAGAAACUGUCAACAAAAAUAUUCAACUCAUUAGUACUCAAACAAAAGUCAAGAAACUGUCUGCUUACAAGUAAUUUUUGAACAUCAGGUGCAAGUGAUUCAGCAAACUCCCUCCCACCAAUAUUUCCGACCUGUACAAGGCAACAAAUAAAGACAUAACAAAAAUAAAACGAAAAAAGAAUAAAAGAAAUUUGCUAAUUAUCUAGAAAGGUCUAUAACCAUACCAGAGUCAGUGCUAGGCACUGGAAAGUCUCAUUUCUACCGAUGAUAUCAUUCCGCACUGUAUUAAUAGCUAAUCUCAAAAAGUCGUGAUUCUCAUUAAGCAAACACGAUGUCACUAUGUACCCAACCUGCAGCCAGAUCGAGUCAGUCGAACAUUCCCACAAUAACAUCAUUGUCCCAAAGCAGAACCAAAUGUAGAAAAGUUCAUGAAUGUAAGCAGUAAAUAAAUCCUAUGAAGGAUACCCUAAAGCAUCUAUUUAACAAAUUAGGGGGAAUUUUUCUACAUUUGCCAGGCAAGAGCUAAAUUCAAAAAGACAUCAACAUCCCUAUUGCACGCAUAUUACAGAAUCAACUUUGAACAUUCAAACAAAAUUCGCUGACUAUUUCCAGAUUUUAUAAUGGACCUGUUUUCGUGCUGCUGCUUUGACCUCACAAUGUGCCAGAAAGCUUACUAAACAAAGUCACAAGCAACAUCCGCUCAGCAUUUGAUAAUUUUACUGGUUCAAUGGGUGUAGCAAACGACUGUCCAUAACAUUGGCACAAGGCAUCCAAGAACAAAUCCAAAAAUCAAAAGUUCUUAGUCCUCCAACUGAUUGUUGCAUUCAAUUGGCAAUAAAGUUUAAAUCAUUUCAAAACCAAUAGUUAUAGUUUGAUUCCAUCAAUUAUUACAAGUACUGCAUAAGGAUGGAAAAAGCACAUCUAUAUAACAAAUGAAAAAAAAUGUAAAGUGCUGCAGCAAAUUCAAAACUUUUUAGAUGCAUGCUUAACAUGAGAUAAUCGUCAUGAGUUGACAGGAUCCAGUUUUUAAUGAAUGUCAUCUAUCUCACACAGAAUCUAUUUUAGUGCAUGUAAGCAACAAGAAAUAUAGCAUAGCAAAAUAAUUAUCAAACAUGCAAUAAGAACUAUCCAGCACAUGUAUUGUAGUGAACGACUAGCUUAUUUAAGUUGAUUGCAAUCAAACGUAGUUGGGUUCUGAGCAAUUGAUUGAAACCUUAUUGCCAAAAGUAACAAUACUAGCAUUACAAGACAAGAUCAUUGCAUUGUGUUAUCAAAAACUGAGGUCAUCAGGUACCUGCUUUUCAGGAUACUUGGGAGCAGAUAUUAAAGAAACGGCUUCCAUGUGACCAAAGUCCACAUCAUAACCAAGCAUGUAUAUGUAAAGCAUUUUCCAGACGUAUUUCUUCUUCUCAUAAGGAGUCAAACCCUGUAGUGAACAAAACAUAUGUAAAAAAACUCAUACAAUACCAAAAUCAGACUCAUCUCUAAGAUACAGUUGAAAAUUUUGAUCUCGCAGAAUAUAACAAAAUUUGCAAGCAAUAUGAAUGCCAAAAUGACAAGCAGAGCAAUAUGCUGAAAAAUGUUGCUGACAAAAAAAUUUCUGAAAAAAAUAUUAAACUUGACCAGCCCCAAGGGAAGCUACAAACUCCAAGUUUAGCAAAUAAAAACUGGCCAUAAGAGACACCCCGAAAAUUGUAAGUAAGAAAAAAAAAUUGCAGACAAUUUCGUUUCUGCAAUAACACCCUAAGGAAGUCCAUUACUCAGAGCUCUUGUCAUAACUGAACAGUUUGUUCAACUUCAUAUAUCUAAGGAUUGGUUAAAGAAUUUGUAACGAUUUUGGGUCGCGUACUACUCACAACUUGGUUUACGCAAUUGAAAUUUCUAAUUCUGCAACAAAUGAAGGAUCAAGAUCAAACAAAUAACCAGGAGAUCACAUCAGUAGUUUGGGCUACAAAAGUUGUUGGCAUAGGGCACCGAUUUGUUACAGUUUGCACCAGAACGGCCCCCUAUGGUCUCGCAACAUGGUGAAUUGGGACAUUGUUAGACAAUGAAGUAACUUCACUGCAUGUUCAACCAAGGACAGGAGAUGAUUGCAAGACAUGAAGGUUCAUUGAGAAGAAAUACAUAAGGCUGAGUUCUGAUAACUUUACCUAAGCAUUGCUGCUGAUGGACAGUGAUUAGGCUACAAAACUUUGUUUAAGUAGCUCAGGCCAUGGUAAUUGCAACUGUAAUUUUGAAAAAUCAAUUUUCAAAGACAUCACCUUCCCAAGAUCCCCACCAAAAAACAAAAAUCAGUGAGCUUCAUGUAGCUCCCACUGAUUGCGCUGAUGAUGGCUAUAUGCUUUAGCCUCAGGAUCAGAGUAUGGCCACAAUAAGCGACAGGCUCAAGUAGAUAAGUAAAGCAGGAAAAGAGAAAAAAUAAAAAUAACAUAGGUCAGCAAAAGUGAUACCGCACACAACAAGAACGUUUUGAUAAAUUAAUCUUCAUUUUAAGAUUGAAACAAACAAGGACUACAGUUUCCUUCUGCCUUUGCAGUAAAAUAUUCUAAAAUUGAAGAGGAGGUCUUGGUUAGUGAGCAUUUGAAACAAGGAAACUUCCACAAUCCCAAAUAAAAGCCUACUUGACUUUUAACUGAAACGAAUCUCACCAUGAUUACUAGGGGAAAUCCUUGGACAACAACGCCAGUCACCUCAGAGUCAAUGACGCACAAACAUCCACUUGCCAUAUCUCUCAUAUUUUGAAAAUGUUACUAUAUACCCUGCUUCCUGAAUAUCAAUCUGUCUUGUACAGUCUUCUAACCCUUAUCCACUUAAAACUUGUCUCUUUCACUACUUAGUUGAGCAUUAACAUACUCCAUGGAUUACCUUUUUCCCUUGCUAUAGGCCACCACCCAGAAAAGGAACAACAACAAAGAGGCCGGUGCAAUUUAUUUAUGAAUGCUUAAGUCUUCUUAACGAUUCUACAUAUAGCAACAAGGUCAUGAAGUUCAAGGCUUAAUCAUAACUUAACUGAACAUACUAGCGAAUUAUUCUAAACCACAAAUCCAGGAAGGUAUGGUGGGACCCCCAGCUCCUACCAGUUCACACAGAUCAUACUAUGUCUUUGCCAUGGAUUGAACGUGUUAUAAGCUGUGCAAGUAGUGCAGUACUUUCCCGAUUAUACUGAAUUUGGAGAAAUAGCCGUGCAUGAUCUAACAACGUCCAUCAAAUAACAUCGAAGAAAUCACAACUUUCAUCCAAGUAAUUUUCAGUGUUGAAAGUACAAGAAGAAAAUGAAGGUUUAGCGAAAAAGAAAAAAAAUGCAGCCACAAAUGCCAAUAUUUCAACAUUACUCGUCUACACCCCUUCCGAAUUAUCAGCAUUCACUACCAACAAAAUGCUAGCUCAUUUUCAUUUCUUAACACAUUUUUUCUUCUUUUGUCCAACUAACCCUUUCCAAACAUAAAUUCCAUCUAAGAUUAUCAACUCAAAAUUUCUGAAAUAGAAAGGCCUCUACUAAUCAAAUUGCCAAUGACAGAAUUCAAACAGAAAGUAAGCAUCCAAAACCAGCCAAAAUUACAAAACCAUAAAACACUCCAAACACAUUUCGACUAAGCCUUAAAAAGUGAAUUCGGACUUCAAAUUCCACAAAUUUUAAACUAAGCCAACACAUUCAAAGCCCUCUUUACUCGAUAAAGAACCUAAUUUACACAAAUGCACCACUUAAACACAAAAAAACCUAAACACAACUCCACAAAAAUACAGUCCCCUCAGCUCAACAGCUCAUAUCGAAUUAAAAAAAGCUUUUAAAAAAAUGAUUACAACAAAGAAAAAUAAAUGAAGUACCUUUUCAUUUUUGAAGCGAGUACGGAUAUUGCCGAGCUCUUUAUCGACGCGGAGGCGUUCUUGUUCUUUGUUCUGGCAAUUGCGGACGUCGCUGAUGAACACCGACAGCCCUCUCAUGCCAGACAACGCCAUCUCCAAGCGGUCCGAUCACAACUCCGGUCCAGAUCCAACUCAAAACGCUUGGUCCGGUUACAAUUGAAAGAUCUUAAUCCUCUGCUUUGGUUUCUUCAAAAUGAAUGCAUCUAAUCAAAAUUCCAGGUGGAAUUCACCGAGUAAAAAUCAAAAUGCUGAAAGUGAAAAAUAAUGUUUAGGGUUUGAAUUUACAAAUAGAGAGAGAACAGUGGGUGUUUGGAGGCGUGAUCUAGAGAGAGACAGAGGUGGACUGAGGAGAAAAUUUGGAAAGAGCCGUCGGGGCCCGAUAGAUAGGCUGAGGAAGAAAGACGACUUUUUUUUUCUUUUUUUUUUUUAGUAUACUACAAUUUUUUACAGCAAAUGACGCCAUCAUUUCGCUUUAUUUUUAAAUUUUUUUUAUUUAUUGACUCCGCUAUAGCAUUAACAUUUAAAACUCGAUUUUUAUUUUUCUUUUUGGGUUUGGUUUUUAGUUCCCAAUUUAAAGCUUGUUGACUGGAAAAGAACCAGAAGGAUGUGGAUCCGGGUUUCGUGACCGACCCGAAAAGGGGAUGGGUUUGUGGUUUGACCGUUUGAAGCACAAAUGCGAAAAGCCUGUUGAAAAUGUCAGAAACUUUCAUCAGUUGUUCUUUUGCCUAUUUUGUGAUUUUCCACCAAAAAUAAAAAUUUUACAUUUUCUAUGAAUACAUUUACCAGUCACCUUCUUUUCUCACAUAAAUAAAAUCGUUAUAGUACGUUUUUCUAUAAAAAAUCCUAAAUAUAGCAAUUCAAACACCUGAAUCUCCCUCUUUUUUUUUUUAUAGUUUUUUGUUGAUGAAUGCUGCCUAUGAACUUCAAGUUUAUCAUUGAUUUUUUAUUUCACAUUUGAUUAAUUGUUUUCAUAAGUUGAAGUGACCGUACGUUUUUUUGUUAGUAUUAGGCUGCAAAAAAUGAAGGCAAAAGGCUAUAAAUAUAUCCAAAGCAAAGCAACUAAUAAGGCAUAAAGAGAUAUUUUAAAUGAAAACUUAAUUGUUAUUACUGCAGUUUUAAAUAGUAGCAAAAAUAGCCAGAACAUAUGCCAUAUAGUUCUUUCAAACCUAUCUUACCAUUAAUUAGAUUGUAGUAUUGUUUUAUUUUAUCAUACGGUCUGUCUAACAGAAACUUUCUGAGCGCUUGUUAAAAUAUAUUUCAGGUAUUAAAUUUUUGAAAAUGUAAAAUUAAUUAGAAAAAAAUGUAUAAAUACAAAAAAAAAAUAACUAUUAAUAUGUAUAUGUAUAUAAAAUAUUAGAUAGAAUUUAGACGUAUUAAUGAUUGUUCAAUUGUCAUAUUUGAUCUGUUAAAAUACAAGCAUUUAGAUUCGAAAUCUAAUUAUUUAUCACACAUAGGAGACACACAUAGUAGAGUAAUUUAACUCAGACCAAAUGUUGAAAGAUUUUUUCACAAAUGGAUACUGUAGUAACGAGGGAACAAGAAAUUCAUGAAAAUCAUAGGAAUGUUAUUCAAGAAAUUCCAGUCUCCUUCCUUCAUUUUACUUGGUUCUUUCCCUUCUCGACAUCACAGAUGUAAGCCUGAUAAUACCCUUGUCGGGCGAAUACUCGACCCUAAACCACCAACUUGAGAGAGAAGGUCCAAAUAAGGCUUAUCUUUGGCGUUUCUAGAAUUGAUUCCCAACCAUAUAAUGAGUAAUGACCUGCUAUGAUGUAAACCGGUUGAACUUUGAACCAUUGUGCUUUUGGGCUUGAAGAAUUUGGCAAAAGUCGGUCCACUUUUGUGACUCUUCAUAGGCUCAUACCACUCAAUGCUGACUUGUCAAAACAACCCAUUAGAGACAAGAGGAAAUUUCGCUGCAAAUGUUCACACAUAGACUUGGGACGCUAAAAGUUUCAGCAGGGAUUAUUAGGGGUGCUCAGGGAUCAAAUAAUCCAUGUGUGUACGAUUUCACUGACGCUAAUCACAUGUAGCGAUCAACAAAAUUACAGUCCAUACUGUAACCAGCUGAAUCGGUUAAUCAGUGACCGGUUAAUCUGUGAGAUAGGAUUGAGUGUACAUGAUAAUUUAAUCUUCUUCUACGUAUAAAAAACAAAAAAGAAUUAGAUUAACAAAUCAAAUAAUAUAAUAUUUUUUCAAGUCAAUAAGAGUAUUUAAUCUUACAAUUCUAAAAAUCUAUCAACAACAUAGAAAAUCAAAACACAUUAGAUAAUUUAAACACUGAAUAUUAUAAACAUUUGUUUUCGUUUUCUCUAUUUCUUGAAAGCAAUCAAUUUUAUUUUUUUCCAAAUAAGGAUGAUAGGUUACUGCACAACCAAACAUGUAAGUUUUAAACAUUAAAAACAAAAUAUUUAGUAGAGUGAUAGGGUUGAUAGAAUUUAUGAGGAAAGAAAAGAAGUUUUGGAAAAAAAAAAAAAGAGAGAGAGAAGCAGAGUAAAUGAAAUUAGUGGCGACGCAUGUAGAAAGUGAAAAAGGUAAUUGGGAGUUAGAAUUAGAUAGAUGAGUUUAUAAGUUUUGAAAAAUAAAAUAUAUAAUAGUUCUCAUAACUCAAAUUAUUAGUAAAUUAAAUUGACUAAAUAAUUAUGAGUUGGGGUUGGGGUUUGGAUUUGGCUACUAGUUAUCCUAACCCAUCCCACAUAUCCUACACAUUUGUGCCACAUAUGCAGAUAGGUCCAAAUAAUAAUGAUUUUCAAAAAUUAAGAACCAUAUUCUAAUAUAAUUUUUUAAAUAGAUUCGAGUAACCUAAUCAUUUCAAGAAUUGCAAGUUCAUUACCCUAUUUUUUAUUUGGAUUAAUUCGAUUUUCUUGAUUAUCUACUUUUUCUUCUAUUCUUUUUGAACACCUGAUGGACUAUACAUAUAUGCAAUCAAAUUCCUGUCUUUCUACCAUGUUUACUGUACAUGUCUUUCUACCGUCCAGCUGACAUCGUGUUUGUUGUUAAAAAAUCAGAGCCAUUUCUUUCUGAUAAUUGACACAUUUUUAAGCCCAACGGAUACAUGGCACCAAACAAGCCCCAAGAUACAACAGUGCAUUCUCAAAAAAUGUUCUACUUGUUUUUCGAAUUCCCCACUCAAGCUUGAAGCAAGGACUUGCCAAAAACCAAAAUUUACAAUUAACAUUGCAUAGCUUUGAAAUAAAAUAAUUUACUUCACAAAUUUCAAUCACUUUUUUAUCUUCCCAAUUACCUUUUUAUCUCACAUACAUCACAUCACUAAAAGUGCUACAGUAAUUAUCUCAAAUAAAUCAUCCAAAUAAACUCCUAUCCAAACAAACCCAAUUUUUUUGCUUAAGCCAAGGGCAUCAUCAGUUCUCUCUCUUUCCUUUACUAUUUCUUCUUUCUGCUAUUUUCCUUCUUUUAUUUAAGCUAGGGAAAACACCACUCUCCUGGCAGCAGGGCGGGGUUGGAGAAGGGCUGGGAAAACUUAAACCAAAAAAAUCUAACCUAAUGAAUAUUUCAAUCAAUCAAA